AAUAGGCAGGAGAGGAGGAUCUAAAUGCUUUCAGUUUUAACUCUUCACCAAUAGUGGAAAAGGCAGAAUGCCUAAGCUAUGGUUCUGUGGCCAAUAGGAUGGCGGCGUGUCUCUCACAUGACUGCCUGCCCCUGCCUUUCGCAUGGGCUCUAAUUUAGUUCAAUUCAGAACUGCAGAUAGUACGGUGGAGCAGGGAUGCCUGAGCACAAGUAGCGAGUUCCGAGUGACUUUAGGAAAUGCUUCCCCCCCUUCCUGGGCAUGCAAACAAGACUCUGCACCUGCACCGCAGUUUGUUCCGGAGAGAAGCCUCGGCUUCGCCCUGCAGGGACGAGGAACUAGAGCAAGAAGCAGCAUUUGAAAAUUGUCCGGGCACGAGUGACGGCAGCUGAAAGUGGCCAGUGUGGAGAAGGAAAAGACAGCUUUCUGUCUUAGGAGCCAGGCCUCCAUAUAAAGAUUUUUUUAAAAUUCCUAAUAGGGUGGGGUGAGGAUGUGGGGGGUGGGGAGGAAGCAUGCCGAAGCUUCUUCAUAGAAGAAUCCUCAAAGAAUAAAAUAAUUUAGAAUGUCUUCCUGCGGGAGGAGGCAAGGCUAUAGCUAACAUCUAAGUUGUAUUUAUGGUAAGAUUUUUUUUUGAUGGAGUUUUAAACAGAAGUGACAUUCAAAGCAGCAUUUAAAAAAAAAAAAAACAAUUGGAAACAAAUGGUAGAAAUUGUUCCUGUUACUGCUUUCUUUUCAUAGUCAACUAGGGUAAUCCAGCAAUGCUGGAUUGUGUCUUUCCUUCUAGAAUCAUCUAAAUCCUUAAAAAGUUAUGUUUGGUCUCAUAAGAAAUGAAACUGCAAAUCAGAUCAGUGUGAUUAUGACUGAUGAAGAUUCUGAACAACAAAGACUCUGACAGAAAGAGAGUUUAUAAGAACACACUGCCCUCCCCAUUUUUAAAAGAGAAUAUUAACUCCAUCAAUUAUUGAAAGGAAUUAUUCAGAGGCUCCAGACAGAACUAAUUACGGCUUAGAGAGGUGCCAGAGCCGAGCCGGUGCUGUAAUUAUGAAAGUCCAAGACAUUAGGAAUCAUUUUUUUUUAAAGGAGGCUUGAGCACAGAAUUUCACAUAAUCUUUUAAAAAUACACCAGUUUUUCUUUGUCUGCUCUCUCAUGUUAUCUACACCUCCCCCACUGCCGCCCACUGUGCGCUGAGACACCUGAAGGCUAGACAUAAUGAUCAACAGAGCUCCAGCCUGUCUGGACUCCAGCCAGGUCCCCCCCCCCCCCACCCCCCUUCUACAAUCAAGGAGCUUGCACGCAAUGCAUGCCGAGCCUUUCCACCACUAUGUGCAGAUCCGGGAUGGAAGUCGUACACAUACUGCGGAAAGAUUAAAGACAACAAUAUCCCCUUUCUCCUACCCUAGACAGACUCAAUUUUUAACCCUUUCAUUGCCUUUAAAACCGAGAUGUCUCAAGCACUCGAAGGCAGGUCUCCAGGGACACUGCAACUCCUGCACCAUUUCGCAUAGAAGCACACGCCUCAUUUGGUGUGGAAAUCCCAUCUCCACGGAUCCUGGCAGAAUAUUUGAGGAUUUACAGUGUGUUAACUAAACGAAACAGAAUUCACUGGUGUGGGGAAUGCAUUUUUGAACAAACUUAAGCUAUAUAAGAUCGGGGUGGGGGGGAAGUCUGAGGUCUGUGGGAAGGUUCUUACAAGCCUUGCUGAGAGGGCUGCAGAGGGUUUCUGAGGCUGCAGUUCUGUAAGCAUCGUUCUUUUUGCCUCUGUGUCUUUUUCUCAUUCUCUGUCUCCCACACACUUAAGGCGCACACAUGAGCCAGAAAAACACAUCACUCUAUCACAACGAAGCCAGGUUAGUUGGUGAUGUCAUCACAGAUAAAAUUUUGCCUUUGUGGGCAACAUUUUCAAUCACCUAGACGCCAGCGUCUGCUGGGUGUGUGCCCAUAGGAAGUUCAAGUGUUUGCGGGGUUAACCAACAGACAUAGGAAAGCAGUCUUUUAUUCAGAGUUCUCUCUCUCUCUCUCUCUCUCUCUCUCUCUCUCUCUCUCUCUCUCUCUCAGAUGUGUUUACGGGGCAGUAUGGGUGUGCUUAUCAUGAUAUAGUCAUGUAGCCAGAGUUCUGUGCUUCUAGUACGCCUUAUUAACAUGCUGAUUAUACAUGUGGCUAGAUUUCAAUAUGAAUAGAUGAAAUGAAAAGCGUUUUAAAAUAAUUUGGCUCAAAAUUUUACAAAAGUAAUAGUCAUUAUGAAUUGGUAUUUGUCAUUUGCGAUUACUUUUAAUUGAUUUUUACUAUUAAAAUUCCUCAAGGAAAGAAUCAUUUAUACAAAUGAUUUUGAAGCGAUGCCCAUUUUGUGCCUUUGUGCGUAUGUCUCUGGAUUAGCUGGAACUUGGAUUCAGUGUUUGUGCAGUUGUUCACUCUAUAUUUUUCAUCUCUACUUUGGGGGUCUUCCCUAAAGAGUCACCUACCAAUCAAGUCCUCAGAUCUUUAUUAACAUACAUAUGGUAUUAUUUUAUUUUUCUUAUGUCGAAUGGAAGAAAGAUAAUUUCUUUUGCCACCCUGUAAUUUGAGAUAGAGAUGGAGAAAAAUUCCACAUGCAUUCUACACCUUAUCAAGUUUUUAUAUGUAACUUAUUAAUAAUGUAGGAAUUAUGAUAUGUUUGCUAGCUCAGACAUGCCUGGCAUUUGAUAUUCAGUUUUGUAAGCGUUGAAAUUCAUUCUUUGUACUUCUAAUUUAGAAAAGAUUUUGAAAGCCUGUGUCUGUGAACAAUUGCAGUAAAGGAUCAACAGAACAACGGAUUUAUUUGCCAAUGUAUUAUGUGAUUGUUUUAAAGCAAGAGAAUAAAAAAUUACUGCUUCAUUUGAUUAUUGUCCAGAAAAGCAUACAGUUGAAGAAUUAACACAUUUUGUACUUACAAAAAUUAUAUAAGUUGACUGGUAUUUCUGUGGCGUAACACUCCAAUGUAAACAAGUAAAUAACUUUUUCUAAGGCAUGACUUUCUAUUUUCGUGUAAAGGUUCCCUCCCAACACACACUGAAGUUCUGGCCUGAUGAAAAAUAAUUUAAUUUCUUUCUCCAAGAGAGAAAAUGAACAAGCUGUUUUUGAUUCCACCCUACUUUCUAAAAGGCAGACCUGACCUGGCCCUCUGGGGAUACAGGUUACUAGAAAGGCAUCUUUCAAAGACAAGAAGAUAAUGGACUUGAUUGAAAUAGCUGGACGACGUAAGGCCAGUUCAAGAACAAAUGGUGUUUCAGAACAUAACUGUGAGCAAACAAUUUCCUAUAGUUUGUUCUCCUUACACAAUGGUAAUGGUUUAUUGGAAAUAGCAGAACAAACAGGAGAUAGAUGUACCCAAACAGAAAACAACCCAUGUCCUUUCAUGUCAGGGAUGCAUCAAGAGCCUUGGUGAUCACAGAAUAUUCUUACUCCAAGUCUUUUUGUUGUAGAUUUUACUGGCUCCUCAGCAUCAGCUGAGGGUUGUGACCAGGUGUGGGUGAUAUUUAACAUGCACACUAGAAUAUAGGAUUGUGGUCACAAUUUAUUUUUGUUAUUGUACAAGAGGGUUUGAAACGUAGAGUGUGACUGUACUUUAAUACAAUGAAACUUGGGUAGCAAGAUCCACUGGUUAUGAUUCUUCUAAGUGAGAAUCAUGCUCAGGUACUGAGUAAAGUGGGUGAGAUAUUAUUAUAGAUACUACACACCCUACUACUUUCCUAACUCAAAAACUUCAAUCCAAAUUUGAAGAACAGAACAAUAAUUACUACAGAACUAGACUGUGUUUCUGAGCACCCAGUUGAUUCCUGAAAGUACACUCUGUGGUCGUAAUCUCUCAUGAAGAAAAAGAUUGUGUUUUUUAAAGCUUACCCUGUAGGUUAAAGGCCUGAAAUUAUUGUGCACAGAUGCCCAAGCAGUGUUCAGAGAUGGAAGGAAACUCUGGUCGCAAUAGCUAAGAAGGGGAACUGGUUCAGCUGCUCUAUGCUCCAAAUCUCCUACCUCCACUCUGAACGCGUGCUGAACUCAAGAUUAAUUGGAAUGAAUACUAUCAAAGUGAUUUUUAUAACUUACAAAAGAGCCACUGUUUUGUUAGAUGCCCUCGUGAUGGCAGAGAGUAUGGAAAGUGAUGGACUGGCCCUCUGCUUGCAACCUACUCAGGCCCAGGGAGACACUGGGGUCAGACCGACUCAUGAAUCACAGAUAGGAAAUGAACCAAAUGCAUAUUUGGAAGUUUAAACAGAAACAUUUAGGAUAUAUAUAUAUAUAUAUAUAUAUAUAUAUAUAAAACAAAUAAAUGAAUUUUGGGUUGAUUUUUGGCACAUCUUUUAAAACACCAACCCUUAGUUCAGCUGAAAUAACUUUUUAUACGUAUAGCUAAGACCAGAUGGCCACACGCUCCUUUCUUAUUUAGAUGAGACUCUUCCUUUCAAUAACAUCUUUCUUCCUGACCUGCUUAAAAAUUCCAGCGAAUGAAAUCAGCACAGGAUUUUCAAUUCUAAUUGACCAUGUGCAGAGGAAGGGCCGGGACAGAAAUCACUAGAGGCAUUGUAAGCCUCUGCCUCAGCUCUGGCUUUGUAUUUUACCCUUCCUAGCCUAUCCAAACUAGCUGAAAAUAUUGAAAAUGUUUAACAUUAAAUAACUGCAUGAUUAUUCUUUAGUGUAAAUUAGUUGAUCUGAUUCUCUCAUUUAAUCAUAAAAAUCCAAAAGAAUUGUCAUUCACUUACACAGCUUUGUUUUUUAAAAAAGUACCUUAAAAUAGUAGCAUAACAAUUGAAUUGAGAUAGGAAGAUAGAAUGUCAUAUUUAUUUUCCCCAUUCCUUAUGUAAAUCAUUAUUAUGUCAUAUGUAUACAUGAUAUUUAUUAGUAUUAUCUGCAUGCAUUUUCAAUUUUAUGGAAAUAUUAAUUAUCAAGAUUUUUUGAUAUAUUGUAAAUGAAUGAUAAGAAAUGAAAAAUAUUUUCCUUGAUGUUUAUUCAUACUUUUUCUAACAAUAAUACUGGAAAUAGAAGAUGAGAUAUGUAUGUAUAUAUGUAUAUACAUAUGUAUAUACAUAAUAUAUAGUUCAAUGAAGUUAGUUAUAUAUGCUUUGAAAGUGGGUAUCUACUUUGGUAGGCACCCAUAAUUUUUUUGUUGUUGUCAAGCUCAUUUUAGGGAUGUUGUGGUGCUAAGGCUUGAACCCAAGGCCUAACGUGUGCUAAGCACAGAUUUGACCACUGAGCUAUACUCAGACGCUCUUUUGGAUAAAUUCUUGACUCAAAUCAUUAUCUUUAUAUUCAUUUUUACAGUUAAAAGUACUAUGUUCUAAGUAUGUUUUUGGAAUGGCAAACUGUGAGAUACUGACAUUAUUUUGACAUAAAAUCUUAGAAGAAAAGUUGAACUCGUGGUGCACAUUUUAAAAGCAGACAGAAAUUAAGAAAGUAAAUAUCAAUUAUUGGUGCCACUGGAAAAUCCUAUAGAGGCUUUAUAGCAGUGCAGGCCCUGGAUUCAAGGUUAUACUCAUUAUUUGGGAUGGGGGACAGCCUAGUAUGUAACAAAUAUAUUGACAAAUAUAGAGAUUGACAAAUAAAGAGAUGCUUUGUCAUGAGCUACGUUCAUGCAAAUGUUUGAAAAUUUAUACAUCUUAGGAAUGGUAACGUUCAUUAGGAUUUUUGUGUCAAAAUUAUACAAAUAUCAAGAUGGACUGCUAGAAUUUACAGUUCUGAAAGUUGUGGUCUAAGCCACUAGUACAUGAAGUCAAUUUUUUACAAACUUUGGGAAAAUUAAAGUUCGGAUAGCUUACUGUAACUCUCUGUGAGUCAAACUUGUACUUCCAUACAUGAGACCGAGGACUGUCAUCAUGUCUUUAAGCAUGUGAGCUAUUCUCAUAUUAAAUAUUUUUCUUAUUGACUUAAAAUUGGAAAAGCCAAUUACAAAUAUGAGUUCACUGCUCCAAUUUGCCCAAUUCUGCCUUACCCUGUGUGACUAUGUUUAAAAUCUUACGAGAUCAAAACUAUGACCUAACAAUAGAAAUGAGAGUAAAGUGCCAUCUAAUGUUUUACUUUAUAACUAGCUACAGCUUAUCUUUACCAUCAGAACCACGGAGUUGAUUUAAUCAUGAAUCAGAGCCAGGCUAUAGAAAAUAAUGGAGAAUGGGAUCACGGGGAUUAUUAAAUUAAAUUGGGAUUGAAAUUCUUCAUCAUUCAUACUAAAUAAUCAAGAAACAGUUUUAAAUAAGGGUGAUAGUUCUCAGCUACUUCUAUUUUCCUCUUUUCUGUAGUACCAUUGGCUACUAAGCAGGUCUUGAUUCUGUGAGGGUCAAGGCCGAUUAAAAGUAUUUAAUGCAACAAUAACGCCACAUCUCAUUAAGCUAAGUGAGUGUUAGUAGUUUUCAUUUUUGCAAGUUUGUGGUUGAGAUUCCCAUUCUGAUUUUGCUUCAUGAAUCCUAAUUUUCAUUUUGGUUAAAAAAAAAAAAGUCCAGGAAAAAUUAUGGACAGUUACGGAAUCUUUGCAGCUGUACAAAAUGUCUGCCCUCACGGUGUCCCUUUCCUGUCCUGUGAAACGUAGCAAUGACUCUGUGAUUGAGAUCCAGUGGAAACCCAGGUCCCCCUUCAGCUCUCCCUGGACACUGUUUGUACUGGUUUUCUUGCUUAGGAGCCUUCUCCAGCUUAAUCUUUCCUGUACAGUAGACGCCUCCCAUCCAGUAUGCUGUGCACCCAGCCAUUAGUGCUCACUGACAGUUAGCCUCAUCUUUCAUUGAGAGGCUUAUGGAUCAUACCCAUACCAGUCCGCUCUUGUGUUUUCUAAUUUUAUAUCCUUAGCUGUAAAGGAAGUGGUGCUAUACGAAUAGAUGGGAGGAUAAAUAUAGGGGCUCAUGCAGAUGUCUCUGGCAUUCUGAAAAUCUGCAAUGUCGUAAAUAACAAGCCACUGAAUUUGCCUCAGCUUCUCUCACAUCUAGCUCCUGCAGUGAGCCCACCUCCAAAUGGAAGGCUUCUCUCAGUUACUAAGCUCAAGGUGGAUGCCCAGUUUAUUCUGUGUUCUCCCUUUGACCAACUAUAUUUCCUGGAGGAAAAGCAUUGUUUAAAAGAAAAUAAAGGUUAAAGGAGAGAUAAUAAAGCAUGCAGCCAUGAGAUUAAGCCAAUAAAAUUAUCAGGACAGACUGUGUCACCUAACCUGAAGUUAGAAGAGUCUCCAAAUUUAGACAUUUUCAGCACUCAUAUGCACAUAUAGAAACUCAUAUGCAAAUUUAACUUCUUUGUGAUAGUAAGUGGAAGAAAGGCAAUUCCUUUUAAGGUUUUGUUUUUUUGUUUUUGUUUUUUCAAAAUAAAGUUACAUUUUUUUAUAUUUCUUAUUUUUUAUUAGAUAUUUUGUUUAUUUACAUUUCAAUGCUAUCCCCCUUUCUAGUUUCCCCUCUGAAAAUCCCCUAUCCCCUCCCCCUGCUCCCCAACCCACCCACUCCCACUUCCUGGCCCUGGCAUUUCCCUAUACUGGGCAUAGAACCUUCAUAGGACCAAGGGCUUCUCUCAUUGAUGACCUACUAGGCCAUCCUCUAAGUGUCCAUUUAAGUCUACCACAGUGGACUAUGCAUGAAAGACACACUUUUUUGCUGACUGUGAAGUUUGAUCGUCUUGAUCCAUUAGUCAUUCAUCAGAAUGUUAUUCAAAACGUCUUAGGCAAAUAGGAAUCCCUCAGCCAGCACUCUGCCUUGGAAACACUCAAGGCACCUCUUGUCCUGGAAAGGGUUACAGAUGUAAGCUAACGUGGCAUUCAUUGGUUAAUAGGGGGAUGCAAAGGGUUAAAUUUUUAAAUCUUUGCAAAGGGGUGGGGGGAGUCUCUAGAAGAUAAAAACAAAAAACCAACCAACCAACCAAACAAACAAACAAACAAACAAACAAAACCCUAAACUAAAACCCGAGGCUAAGCUGCCAGUGAUUUGGUGGUAUUUAUGGAUUAUACUCCAUGUUGAAAAGAGAAAAAUCAGAUGUAAGAUGACGCUGCAGGGGGCGUCUGGACUUUUCACUAAGUCUGAAGUCUGUUUAGUCGAUGCUUAUUAAGGCUUGGCUUUGACCUUUGCCCCCUUCACUCCUCUUUGUUCCAGGUGCAACAUUUGUGCAAGUGCUUGAACAUUAUGGGUCACUCUGAGCAAACUUCCAGUCCUGAAUGAGCAAAAUAUGCUGAAUGUUAAAAAAUACACAGUCGUUAUGGGAACAUUUUCCAAAGCUCUAUAAACUUAGACACACUUCCUUUGUAGUUUAUAAGCAGUGAGUAUGGCCGUUCUUUAAGGUAUAACUGAAUCUAAAACACAUUACUACAACCUGAAUCUAAAACACAUUACUACAGUAUAAUUGUAAUAUGUUUGUGAGGAUAUCUAAAAUAGCUAUUUCUACCCAAACCACAUCUCUUGGUAGGAAGUAUAGAUAUUUUUGUUUAGGUAUUUCUUUGAAACAUAUACAUGCUCUAAACAUACUUUUACAUUGCCUACUCUUAAAAGAUUAAUUUUAUUUUAUAACAUGGAACUAAAGGAUAUAUAUAUAUAUAUAUAUAUAUAUAUAUAUAUAUAUAUAUAUAUAUCCCAAACAAUAGCAUUUUGGAAAACUUUUAGCUAUGAGAGUUUUAUAAAUUAUAGUUAUGUGCUUAUGUCAUAUUUGAUAAGUGUCGAUAAUUUAAGAGAAACAGACAGAUUUACGCGUCUAAAAUCUAAUGAUUAAUUGCCUGGAUGAAACAUGAGAUGGCUCCAAACUCAAACAUAAAACAAAGAAAGUUAGGUAGGUAUUAAAAACUAUAUUUAAAAGAUUUAGAAUGUAUUUUAUUUUUUUGAAAAAAACAGUCUUUACUUAGCAGGCAGCAUUCUACAUGAUCUAAGUUCACUUACUUUAAAUGUAUUUUUGAAGUUUAAACAAAAUUAAAUCUCUAAUUUUUGACUAAAAACGACUUUAAAAUUUCAUUGGUGUAGUCAUAUACAAAUCUUCCUUAUGGCUAGAAAAAUAUAGAGCAGACUUCAUUUUAAUUUUAAACUAUUUCAAACUACACAGGAAAUUCAUGGCAAAAUAAUAUUUAGAUUUAUGUUCCUACUUCAAAGAUUUACAAAUUUUAGUAUGUUGUUUUAUUUAUUCCAAACAAUUAAGGGGGGAAACACACAGAUUUUCCUCUGACUGCAGAAUAGAGUCCUGUCCUCUAGUUGGUUGCACAUCUUUCAUAUCUGCAUUAUCAUAGUUUAGUCCAUUAUAUGUCAGAAGCUGUUAAAAAAUGAGACAUCACAUGUAAAAUUCCUAGUUAGCCCACUUAAAAUUCAUCUUAAAAUCAAAGAGGGGGGAAUGAUUGCGAUGCAUUCUUCCUUUAUGUAUAGAAUUUGGUAACUAUUGUGGUAAGAUAUUGAAAGAGUUUUCUUCUGGUCUCCACUAACUUGGAUGGCAGAUACUGAGAAAGCCUACAUCUUUCUUCUCUUUCUGUGGAGCCUGUGCAAGUCAAUACUUUAUACUGUGUCUUCAUGUUGCCUAAGGUGUGGGUAACAAGGCUAUGACAUCAUGUUUUAGCAUCCUGUUUACCACAUUCCCCUGCUUUUAUAAAGGACCAUUUAUUAGAGUCAUCUCCUUGCAUCAACGGACUCACCUUCCACACUCCACAAGCCGUUUGUAAUGAUGCUUUAUUUUAAAAUACUCUGACAAACUCUUAGAACUAUACUCAGCUUGGUAUUUGAAGGAAAUUCAGUAAAUACUGCCAUGGAAAGGAAUACUAACAUUUGCAUUAUAUUUUGGUUUCUUCUUUUUGAGUUACGUGCUGACCUUUAAGAGAAGAAAUGAAUGCAUUUCUGAAAAUUUUUCCCAUUUGUAUGUGUUAUCAGAGAUUUGCAUUAACCGUAUGGUGGUACUUUCUGACACAGACUUGUCAGGGAUCUUUCUGCACCUAGCCAUUAGAGCAUAAACCUGCGUCAUCACUUAAUGUCUUCUCUUAUACAAAAUCUAAGGAGAACAUUAAUACACAUAGGGAAGAUGAAUUGGUUUCUUUUGUAGAUUCCCUAGUAAAUAAACUACAUGGGAAAAAGUACAUGAGGACAUAUCUGUAGUAAUUUACAACUUAAGCCCAAAAAUCUUAACACUUAUAUGGAACAGACAUAUAACUGAGGUACCUGGCUCAGAUACUUAAGGUGGGUGUUUGUGCAGACUGUAUUUGGUGUCCAUUUAUAAACUGCAUGUUAUCACAACAUUGGGUAAUUAGUAUCCAGUAAUAAAUUUUGACUCAAGACAAUGGCCUCACAUGACCCAGAGAAGAAAAUGAGGCAUAUGAAAGGCUCCAUUCUUUUCUAUCUUCUAUUCUAUUCAGGGUUUAUCACAAGCUUAUAAUCACUGAUUUUAUUUAUGCGAGAUGUGCAGGAUAAUACAGUGUUUCUUUUAAAAGCAUAUUAUUGAUGCACAACAAAUCUUAGAUUAUUUUAGGUACAUUUUAUAGAUAAAACCAUUUAGUCAAACAUCACUUUUUUAUUAUACAGUACAUUAAAAAGUAUAGACAUCGGCUCUCAUCUUAUUUUAUCCUAAGACUUACAAAUGUAUGUGCUAUCAUUUCAAUGAGGUUUUUCUUUUGUUUGUUAUCUUUGGCUACUCAUAUUCAUUAGCUACCAGUACUCUUCCACUGCAGAUAAUUACAUAGUCAGUGUCACACACACACACACACCCUGGUUAAUUCAUUAACAGUUUUUCAGAAUCCUCAUGUCUGGUUCUCAUUAUGCUUAUUCAACAACUAAGAAACACCUUGGUUAAGGACCACGAAAGGUUGUUUCUUUGGAAAUGCUGACUCUCUAUGGACCUGGAUGGUGUAGUGAUUCCCUAUGGACCUCUUGUUUCCUAUCAGUGAAUGACAACGACUGAGCUAGAUCUCCAAGAUGUUUACAAAUCUCUAGGCUAGUACAGUUAGACCUCUCACUGUCUGAUGACUUCCCAGCUCUCAAAAUAAUCUAUAUGUUAUACAAAUAUUCUAUCCUUUUUAAAUACAGACUCACAUUUAUAUAAUAUUGUCUGCUUUCAUUUAUUUUGCUCUUAAACAUGUCACUGGACUGUAGGUGUCUUCUGGGGAGCAUCUUUCCUUGACCCUACUGCUUUCCUGAGAAUGUGUGUCAUCUGUGAAAAUAUCUAUUUUGUUGAUGAAGUGAUGAAAACUUGUCACUCACAGGUAAAGAUUCUGUUGAGAAGGAAUCCCUCUCCAGAACUCUCUGAUCAUCUGGGAAUACUCAGUAGCAUUGCAGGGAGGGACAGUGCUUAACUGCUAUCAUUGGGAAGUCAUGGUUUGACCCAGGGCUUCCCAGGUGCUGAAUUACAUGGUAAUAGGAAGAAUCAAAUAAUGAAUAUUUUCUCAAUGUAUUAUGAAAUGUACGAGGUUUUAAUUUUGGCACUGGCACUAUUUUUAUUAUAGGGAAGCUAGUCCUUGAGUGAAUGAUGAGAACUUUGCCAAGUUUUUACUGUGAAUUUUUGCAAAUGGGAACUUGCUCAAAUUCCUUGUUUGUGAGCAGCUUGCCUUGUAAAGUCUGUUAGUUCAGACUAUGUGUGAGGUCACCCAACUUAACAGCAGUAAUGGACAAAAUGACCACGGAGAUUUGAACUUAGAGUUUCAGGUGUCAGACAUAGAAAUAGUUUCAGAAUCAGGACCGCAGCAUGAGUAAUGGGAGCUCAUGGAGAAAAAUAUUAUACCAAGUGAUUUCAAUAGUGAUUUUCAUAUUCAUUUCAGUAGUCCUCAAGACAUAAAAGCUUUAACUGUGUUGAAAUUAUUUUUCUAGUGCGGUCCAUAUAAAAGAUUUAAUUUGUUCCUUUAAGACAUGAUAAUCAAACAACCACUCAAAACAUGCCAUGAAUCUGACAGCCACAAAUGUCUUACAAUCUAUUUGCGUGCCCAAACUAUCUCUGCUUCUAAAGUAGUCGACAAACAUAGAAAAGAUGCAAAUUGAAUGGCUUUUGUAAAAACUCAGAUGCACAUGAGACAUCGUCAAUGGUUACAUUUGGGCUGGCAUCCCAUUACUUCUGUCACUUUUGAGUGUAUAGGUCUUAAUCCUCUUACAAGACAUUUGUAAAUGGGAUGUUAAGCUAAAGAAAGAACCAAAUUGGACUAGAAACUGCCAAUGCCUAUUAAAGUGUGCAUAAAAUGCAACAAUCUGUUAAUCAAAGUAAGAGUUCAUAUUUUAUAAGGUCAGUCAUUUAGAGUAAAAAUUCAGAAUUUAAGAGAUUUAGUUAGUGAAAUGUGCAACAUUAUUUUCUAUAAAAAAAAUCAAGAGAUUACUAGAGGGUUAAAAAAUUGAAUCUGAGCUGUGGGGUGGUGGCGCUUGCCUUUUAUUUCAUCACUCGGGGGGCAGAGGCAGACAGAUCUCUGAGUUCGAGGCCAAUCUGGUCUACAGAGUGAGUUCUUGGACAUCCAGGGCUACACAGAGAAACGGCUUCUCAAACCACCGUGUCCCCAAAAAUCUGGGGAUGGAGCGAUGACUCAGUCGUUAAAAGCAGGUAAGACUCUCAUAGAGGACUCAAGUUUGAUUCCCAGCACCACACACUUCCAGGAUCCUCACUUAAGAAAAUCUUCUUUGGUAUUGGUUUGGGCAAUUUCUAGGGAACAUGACGAAUCUGUCUGUCUACCUCAAAUAUCAUUAAAGUUAAUUACAACUGAGGAAAAGACAAAAUAAGCCACUCUUUAUGAGCAGAGUAUAUAAAAGUAGAGAGAUAGUGAUGGUAAGAUUGAUAGAAUGCAGGAGUUCAACAGUUAAAACAAGGGUCUAAGAACAAUAGCAAGUUUCAAAGCAACAGAGAGCAAUGACUCAUUGAUGAUGGUCUGCUGACCAGUUUCCCCAACUCAAUAACCCUAUGUGCACUGAGAAUCAUCCUCCACAUUAUUUUAUGGUACUUGUGUAAUGCUAGGACUUACAGAUGCUUAAUUCCUCUUGUCAACCUUACCAAUUUCAAUGAUUUGGCCUAUGUUCAAAGAGAAGAGUCUUGAGAGUGUCUUUUCUUGACAUUUCAGACCAUUUAGGAUUGUAUAGGUGUGUAAGCUAUCUGUCUUCAAACUUCAGGUUUCUACAAAUGAAAUGUCACAUAAACAUAAAGAAUAUUGAUUUAUUCCUUAAACUUUGACAAAGAAACCCAUGAACAUAACAGCAUGGGACUGACCAAAGAUUCUGCAGUGUGUUCAUUAAAUUACCCAGAAUCAAGAGUUUUCAGAAGGAAAAUGUUCAAGCAUAAACUUAACUUGUUUCCUCCAGGGAACAAGCUGAUUUUAGUUACAGUGUCACGUCUUAAAGCUUUUAGUUGAACACUUAGUAAGUCCCGAGGGAAGUCUUAUGUGUCUCAUCGAAUUUCUGAGUAACCCAAAAUUUGUUAGAAAAAAGUUAAAUCAAAGAAAAUCAAGAGACUUGAAAAUUCUAUAUUCCUAGUUACAUAUUCUAGCUCCUAAAAUCUCCAUGAAACCUCUAGAGAGAAUAUUGUCAACAUAUUUUUCAGAUAAUAAGAACAUGAAUUAUAUAUAUAUACAAUAUAUAUAAUUCCCAUUAUAUAUAUAUUCCCACUGCCUUACCCAGAACUGAUGCUCAAUAUUUUUUAUUGAGUCAUGUGCUUAGAGAUUCAGCUUGGCCCUUUUCCUUUUGAAAGGAUUUUAGUGGUUCCAUUCAUUUGAAUGGAACAAACUAUGAGAUGGACCUCAGGGCUACUGUGAAUGACUUAUAGAGAAGCAAUACAGAUGUAAAAUUUGUAAACAUUUCUAAUAGAGGCAUUACAUCGGUUUAGAUGGAAUUAUAGAAGAUAACAUAUUGAGUAGGUAAAGGAGAUUUAAAAAACGAGAAACUGUUAAACUGUGAAGAAAAUUGACGGGGUAUCACACAGGCUCCUAGAACAAAUAAAUAUAACUGCUUUAAAAAUAAACUGUAUAUUUAGAACCAGAGAAAGAAUAAGACAUUGCCUUCUCCUUUGUACCCCUGGUGUACCCCAGGUAUCAACAGGUAGGCCCAGUGCAAUGAUCAAAAGAAAUUAGUCAUUAAACAAAAUCAAGAGUUGUGAAUCUGGGAAAGGGACAGAUGGGUAGAGGCAAGGGGACAGGAUCAGAAAGACAAAAGAGAGGGAUGAGGGAGGGAAGAACUACAAGAAUGAAUUGCAUAUACCUAUGAAAUUGUCAAAAAAACUAACAAUAAAAAAAAAAAGACUGGUAUAUUGUCUGCACUGGCCAAACAUUGUUAUGGUGUGUAUCAAGAGAGAUUAGUAUACAGAAAUAUUAUCAAGUAAAGUAAUUUGGCUUUUCUGUGAUGUCUAAACACAUCCCUUCUCAGUCUUCCCUGGAUUGGAACUCAUUAGACAUCUAUCUGACCUGAACAUCCAAGUAUUGAUGAGCCAUGAUAAUAUGACAUAAAGCUACAUCCUUCUUAGAAUUAAUGCCAACUUGAACUUUAAAAGGCAUUACUGGUUUGAUGUUCUCCUCAUCUCACUGUGACUGAAAAUAAAAACAGAAGAAAGCUAGUCAUUUAGAUGCAUAGGUAGGAGUCUCUCACCUCUGGUUCUAGUCUGAGCCCUUAGGUAUUACAGCAUCUGGGAAUUAUAAGCUAGGCACUGUCUUUAAGUUGCUCAAUGGGAUUUAUCUGAAGAAAGUGUAUGUCUAUAUACAUAUAUAUGAUUCACUUAUAUACUUUUAUACACAUAUUUACUUAUAUAUGCAUAUGUACUUAUAUAUACUUACACACACACACACAUCUAGUAACGACUUAAAGAGUAUCUAAUAGUAUGGGACAUGUGCCUGCAUGCUGUGAUGUGGACUUAAAGGAUGCCUGAUUAUUGCAGAUGUGGAAACAGCAGCGAAGAAAUGAGUUCUUUUUAGGAACUAUGGUCCUUCUUGUCAAAAUAGACUGCUAGAUGCCACCUCCUGUUCUCUUCAGUGGGAUUUUUUUCAAAGAUAAUGCUUGCAACCAAAUGAGCUCAUAUACCCUUAUGUCCUUUGUGCUUCCCUAUAUGAAUAAUUUUAAGAAAACACAGUCAAGAAGUUGACAACUUUACACCCAUCAUUCUGGUAAUUUCUGUCAUGAAUUUCGAUUACUAGUUUCUAUUCUCACUCUCUGGGUUUUUAGUCAUUAGGAUUUUUUUUGUCAUUUUGUUUUGUUUUGUUGCAUGUGUGUGUAUGAGUGUGUGUAUGCAUAUAUGUAUGUGUACAUGUGUGUGUAUGUAUAUAUGUUGUGUGUAUGCAUGUGUGUAUGUAUGUAUGUGUCUGUAUUCGUGUGUGUGUGUGUAUGAAGGGGAUGUAUUCAUGUGAGUGCAGGUAUCCAUGAAAGGCUAGAAACAUCAGAUCCUCUAGAGCUGGAUUUAUAAGCAGUUUUAAUUCAUCCAAUGUGAAUCCCUACAAAGUUUUUGAGCUAAGACAGUUUCCAAGCUAAAACACACAAAAUUAUUUUAUAAAGAAAAUAAAAGUUAGGCUGGCAGCAAACAAAUGAGUUGUGGGCCAGUUGUGGGCGUUCUGACUGGGGAAGGGGCAUAGAGCUCCCAGGGCAUUCAGAAAUGAAGUCGGCAUAGCGAAUAGGUCAUAGAGAGAUUCAGGUGCACAUGCUAGCCUUACAGUGCCAUGAGACGCAUUCUCUGUGGGUCUGCACGUUUCUCUCAUUUCUGUGGCAGUGACACUUCAGUAGGUUUCCCAAUAGCAAUCAUAACAGGCACAAUGAUGUGCUCUCUGGAGUGUGUUCUCCCUUUCUGACAACAUAGCUGAUUUUCCCUAAUGAGCCUUUUGUUGUCAAUGUGGCUUUUUACUAGCUAUUGCUGAACUACUGUUAGGUCUUUGUGUCCUCGGAUUAUGUCCUUAAUGUAUUGCUGCAUUUCUUUGCCUCAGUGCAAACAAUUUCAAGAGACUUGACUACCUGGCAAAGCCUUUAUGUGAAUGGGUAGCAAAUGCUUUUAUGGGAUGGAGGCUUCCUUUACUGAGAGAUUAAUGAAAAAAUAAGAUUUUUUUUUUUAAUUAAAUGCUGGGACUUGAACCCAAAGCCUUGCAUGUGCAAGUGGGGCUGUGCCUAUAAAAGGAGAAUUGUAUUUUUCUCUUCCUUUUGAUGGGUUUUGUUUUGUUUUGUGCUUGUCUUGUUAAAGAGAAAUGCUACCUCUAGAUUACUGAAAACACUCAAGGAAGAAGUGAAGAUAUCUUCGUAUACGAUGAGGGAAGGAAUCAAUCUCCACCCUGAUUCCUGAUGUGGUUUGAAAUAAUAAAGGAUUCAAAUAUUUUGAAAUAAUAGCAUUUACAAAAAUUAGUAAAGCACAAGAAAAAGAAAGUAAUCAAAGUUAUUUGUUUAUAGUCAAGUUUAAAUUGCCUAAUGGAAGAAUGUUUCCAUUGUAAGUCUUAACAUAUAUUUAUUUGACAUAUUGUCAUCAUUUUCAUAGGCACUAUCAUUUUUUUAGAAUAAUGAAAUAUGAAAAACUGUAAUCAAUUAUUUUACAAGAGGAAAUGAUAAUUUCCCAAAUUAGAAAGUAUUAUACAUACACGAUUGAACCAAUUUUAAAGUGGCACAUCACAGUAAGCUUAUGAGAUAUACAUGUGCAGUUUGCUGGCAAUAUGAGCUCCUGUAUAAAAGCAAACAUUUGUUUUGAGCUAUGUAUUGUUUGGAACACCUGACCUUCUUGAGGCAAUAAAUCACUCCCUCUUUCCCACUUACACUCAGCAGCAGUGAGAAAGUAAAAUGAAUGGAAAUCGACUACCAUUGUCAUUCCUGCUACAGUCUGCUAUUUUGUCCAAUGUAGUCCUUACCUUCAAGUAUGUAGACUGAAAAACUGCAUCAUGGGAUAUCUCAUAAGCUGACUGUGAUGCUCCACUUAAAAACCAUCCAAAAACGUAUACACCCUGCAGAAAUAUCAGUUCCUUAGGGAUAGGAGAGAGCAAAUGCAGAUGGAGUGAGAGAGAGACAGAGUUAGUGUAGAGAGUGGAAGAAGAUAUGGUGAUAUUCAUGCUCACAUCCUCGGGUGUUUCUUCCUAACUUCUUUAUUACAAUAUAAAGGAGUAUGGAACAGAGUGAAUGGAAGAUCAAAGAAUGUUUAGUUGGUGGAAUUGUUUACACAGGAAAAAUCAGGAGUAAAAAACAUGUCCUCAAAGGUGUUUUAGAAAAAUUAAAAGAAAGACAUAAUUUUUAAAAAAAAUUUUAUUAGGUAUUUUCCUCAUUUACAUUUCCAAUGCUAUCCCCAAAAGUCCCCCAUACCCUCCCACCCACUCCCCUACCCACCCACUCCCACUUCUUGACCCUGGAGUUCCCCUGUACUGAGGCAUAUAAAGUUUGCACGACCAAUGGGCCUCUCCUUCCACUAGGCCAUCUUCUGAUACAUAUGCAGCUAGAGACACGAGCUCCAGGGGGUACUGGUUAGUUCAUAUUGUUGUUCCACCUAUAGGGUUGCAGAUCCCUUUAGCUCCUUGGGUACUUUCUCUAGCUCCUCCAUUGUAAAAAGAAAGUUUUAAAAAGAAAAAUUUGAGUUUCAACUCUUUAUUGACACUAUAAAUAUAGCAAACAAACUAUAUGCACAUGCACAUGUGCACACACACACACACACAAACACACAGACACACGCUCACAUUGUAAGGAGUGGCUUUACUACCUAAAAGUUGAAGUGAUUCACAGAAAUUUAACCAUAGUUAAAAAAACCAUUGAACAUUUACACCAGAGACAUAGACAACCUAUUUUUUUUCCCCAGGAACGGCUCUGAGAAUUGCAGAGACAAAACCAAUUGAUGUUCCCGGCAAGCUACCCUUGGGAGGAUUGAGUUCUCACACUACUCUUCACCCCUAUACCAACCAACUUCCUAAUCUCUUCAUCAAAUGCAGCAUAGCCUUUACAUGCACUCUUCCCUUCUAUACAUCGACAGGAUGUCCCAGUAAAACUGUCUAAUGUGGACGCUUAAAUAAUAGAAUAUGGGGAAAUAUCUAGGAAAAUACCCCAUCAUAUAAAAAACUACUUGAGAUUCACAUAUGCUCUAAGGAUGUCUAAUUCUGUUGAAAGUGUUUUCUCCCAAUAAUCCAAAGAAGAGAAGCUGAAGCUCUCUAGCCAAGUCGUUUUGCUAUAUAUUAUUACUCAGUUUUCAGAGCAUUUGUUGAGGAAUCUUGGUUUAGUUGUGAAUUUUUCAUUACUUUCCUUUAUUCUCUUUUAUUCUUGGCUCUUCCACUAGUAUCUACCCUUUGCUAUCCAAGGGCAGCAGACAGCAGAUCAGCCAUAGCAUACAGCUGCAAUAACUUAAAACAGCCACUAUUCAGAGCCUUUUAAGAAGUAUAUAAUUGAGAUCAAGAAGGCUAGCCCUAUAUGCUGGACUAAUUUUAGAAUAAGAAUAAUAUUACACAUCCAAAAGACAUCUAUUGGCUUAGCUUUUAAAAAGGAGUCUGGGACAGAUUGACCAAGGGUUUCAAAUAUCCAAAGAAGCUUGUCAAUAUUCAGAGAGCCAUCUUUAAGACAUAGAAUCUUCUUGCAUUCAUUUUAAAAAAUUUUUGUCACAGUGUGGGGGCUGAGGGAUUGCCUCAACCACUGUAGGUGAUGGUAAACACCAGAAUCUGAAGGGUAGGCCAGGUCUAGGCUGGAAGACAGGAAGAGCUGAAGUUUGAGUGUAAGGGCAACCAGGGGCUGGCUGACUUCUCAUCAACUCUGCAAACAUGCAGAUUAGGUUCUUCUGGGAACCCCCUUGGUGCCGCUGCAUGUGAUUCAUUUGCACAACUGUGUUUUGCAAGUACUUUUAUUAGAGAGUUGACAGCCAUUAGAAGGUGACAAACCCAAGUAUGAGAGGAUGGAGUUUACCUUUCCAAAGGUGAAUUCAGGCACUCAUUCACAUGAGUUACUUCAGGUUUCCUGAAAUGAGAUACUAGGGUUGGAGUAUGAAAUGUAAUGUUGUUAAUUGAGGAAUUAAAAAUAAGUAGCCGUUUCCCCUUGUUAGCCCUGUCCUUACAGACAAACCAAUCAGUGUGGUUUCAGACUAAAUGUAACGUUAUGCCUGUGAGUAUAAAGCACACCUGUAGUGCACAUGAGAAGAACGUUCACUAGUCACCCUUGAUUCUCAGGAGCCUCCUCAAAGAAGGGAUGGCAAUGCUCAUUCCAGCAACUCUCAUAGCUGUUCUUCCUUGCUAAGGAUCCAGUUUCUACAAGAAUAUUUAAAAGUAACCACCGCCAACAACAAAAAGGAUUGUGCUUUUCUGUAUGUAGAACACAACACAAUAAGUUGGACCAGAUCAAGAACUUUAUAGUGGAGUUGCAAUUACUUGCACAUGGGAGACAACCUGUUGCCGCUCACUAGAAAUACCAAAAUAGAAGAGCAGAUUUCUGCAAGGGUCUGCAUGUUUCCCAGGUGUGUACUCACUGGGCAUGCAAAACUAGAAGUACUUCACUGUUCAUGCACAUGUACACAUCUCACCAUAUGGGCUGAUCCCUGAUAACUUUAACAAAUUUAAGCAGUAUGUCCCUCAUAUCCUGAUUACAACAAUGUCAAAGAAUCAUUUAACGAUUAUGUCAUUUCUAUCUGCAAGAGCUCAAAGCUGGUCAUGUGGCCACUCUUCUCAAUGGUGUAUAUUACUUGGUGACUUUUCUAAUCUACUUUGAUCUUUGAGAAUUUCUUUUGGUUUUUAAAUUAUAACCUGGAGAAAACAAUAGAAAUAAUUUUUUCUUGAAGAACACAUGUCCACUGUGUAUCCAAGCGUAUUUAGCUUUUAUAAAAGAGUAAGAACCCUCGUCUACAGUGUAGGCAUAUAAACACUCAUAGCCCAAGUUUCCUAUCAUUAUGUGAAGCUAUUGAUGAUCCCAUAUAGCUUUCAUGGCUGCUUAUGCUAUUUCCUCCUAUUGAAAUGAUUUUUCUUUACUUCUUUUUGAACACUCAGAUGCAGUCCAACUGAGAUUGAAUCAUCUAAGAUUCAUCUCCCCUAACCAUACUUAACAAAUAGAAUCCCUUUAAAGUCCAAUAACUUUAUAGCUCUAUCCUGUUCAUAAUACUUAUCGUAUUUUCCUUUUGUAGUAUCUCUUCAUCUUUUGAAGACUAUUCCAUAAAUGGAGGUCUCAUUUCCUCAACAGAAGCCCUUGAUACAGUGAAUGCCAAGUGAAUGUUUAUUGAAAUAUUGAAUUAAUGGGUAAGGACUUAGGGGAAAAACAACCAUGAAGACAUCAAAGAGGCAAUCCUAUGACUGAAAUAUCUCUAGAAAUAUUGAAAGUACCAAGUUCUUUCUGUCUGAAUGAUAGCAUUCAAAGAGCCUUAUUUAUUUCAACAGUCUGAAUAAAACUACCCUUUGUAAUUGAAAUUCAGAUUGGAGUUGUUUGAUUUAUAUUAUAUAAAUUCAUUUUCCUAAUUUUCCAUGACUUUGUAAGUCUGUGUUCAGCAAAUGGCCAGUAUUGAAGAUAAUGGCAUCAAUCAUUAUAGAGUACAAUGGUGAGCUCAUCAAAUAAGCCAUGGCACAGGCAUUUUAAAAUAGAAGUACCAUUAUAUAACCAGGAGAAGAGAUGACUGGAAAGUUCAAGAAAUAAAUAUAAGCCAAAGAGGUCAUGUGCUCUCUAUUCUUCUGCAUCUGAUUGUUAGCUAUUUCUUUUUAUUCAAUAAAUAUUUAUUGAUUCCACAUUUAACUCCUAGCAGUCUUCUCAAUGCAUAGGAGAUAAUGGUAAACAAAUGGUUAACAAAGUUCCUAGCUCACCAUACAGACAUAUUAGAAUAUAACCAUAUAUGCCAUAAAUACUGAGAUGAGAAAUCAAAGUUCAGUGAAAGUGAGCUUUGAGAUUAUAUACACAUGUGUUGAGAAAGAUGCACCUAAGAAAUAUUUUACCUAAGUUGUGAACGAAAAGAUUUGGGGAAAACAUAAACUCCAGAAAUUUCAAGACCAGAAAUACAGGAGUAUAAAUGGCCUGAAAUACAAACGUCAUUAUGGUGAACAGGGAAGAACAAAGAGGUCAUUGUAGUCAAAACAGAGUGACUAGGAAGGGGGUGGUAAGAGGCACAAUGAAGAAGUGAAUGGGCGGGUCAUGUAGGGUACUUAUAGCCAUGGGUAAGAUUUGAGGUUUUAUUUUAAAGCUGUUAAAAUGUUUGAACAGUGGUCUGUGUGAUUUCUCUUUUAUGCCAACAAGACAUCAUGACUGUUGUUGUAGAACAGGUCUGGAAGGAUUGUGUAAGGGUGAAGAGAACACCCUUUAGAACAGUGUGCUUCCCCAGGGUGUGCACGGCAGUGUAGAUGUCAAGACGUAGCUGGAGCUUGGAAAUAGUUAAAUUGGCACCAAGGUUUUAUUUUUCCCCAAGACUGUACUAAGGUUCAACUUGAUGUUGAUUUAAAAAGUGUCCUUAUGAGAAGGUUCCAUUGUAUGACAUUCAUAGGAUAAUUAUUCUCCAACUUAUUCUCCAGGGAGCUCAAUGUCAGGAUUAAGCCAGCUCUCAGAGAGGCCUGGGUGACAUGCUUUGUGUCACGAGUCAUGCCAGGUCCCAGAGCUUCAAAGCUACUGUUCUGGCCACCAAAUUUCACAUUUUCCCUGUGUUUUUAUUCUACAGAUCCAAGAAGAGAUUUGAGUUAAUGUAUAAAGUAUUUUGAGCAGAUUUUGGACAAAAUGGAUGUUAAAGGACUGGUUUCAUAAAGAACUUCUAAUUUGUUUGAAGGAAAUGGGCAGCAUGAUUUUCAGCUAUGCUUUGGAUUUUGUGUACUGAAAACCCAUGUACAGCAAGACAUUUUGAGCAUCUACAGCUAACAUUCUGUACAGGGCUAUGCUAAGUCUCUGUGAGCCAUGUUGCCCAUGUUACUUGGGUUUAAGAUAUGUGUAUUUCAAAUUUGCAUAGUCACAAAAAGGGUACCCAGAGAUACACUAAACAAGUUGUUAAAUGUUAAAAUAUAAGUUUAUUGCUAGUUCUAGUUAUUGACAUAUUUGCUUAUUCUGAUACAUUAUCCAAGGACAUGUUUUUUUUUUUUCUCCCAAAAUGCCUCUUUAACCAGCCAUGCAUUUCUUGAACACAUUAAUAAAUUUGCCAAAAGAUUUCAUUAAAAUGACCAUAUUGGACUAGAGAAUUCAUAUCAGAACAACAGAGUUCCUGCUUAUUCUUUUCUUAUUAUUCCUGAAUACAAGUUUAGUCAUUGUUAGGCACCUAGGUGUUUAGCAUGCUAGCACAUUUUACAGCUGCUUAGUUUUAGUCAGGAAAACCAGAUACUGAUACUAAAGUCUUUCCUCUCACAUACAUGUGCGUCAUCCCCCCCCCCCCCACACACACACACAAUGUUCAUUUCACAUACUCUAGGAGGCUCACCUCUGACUCAGGGUGACUCUCUGCCUCCUGAGUUCGAUAUUCACUUCAUUCUUUUUUGUAACCUCCUCCUCUGGAAACUCAAUGUGCUGUGCACCAUUUACAUCCUUCAUUUGCUCUGCCAAGAAAGAACUAGAAUAACAGAGAGUUGGACAUGAAACAUGCUUUCUAAACAAUCAGCGAAGUUCAAUCUAACAAAGCCCCUCCCCAAUACAAAGCAAAGUAAAGCAAAGCAAACGAAAAGUACUCCAUCUUUUCCAUUAGUCAUGGGAAGCUAAAUAAUUGAUUAUUUAAUAAUGUUUACCAAUGGCUUAUUCUUAAAUCAAAAGAAGUGAGCAUCUUGUAUGCUUGUAUGUGUUCAAAGAUAAUUUUAGACACUUCUCUUCUCUAGUAAUGAUGUAUUGGGUGUUUCUUUAUUCCCUUUAGGGUGUUUGUUUGUUUGUUUGUUUUUGUUUUUUCACAAAUUCUGUCCUUAGUAUGGUUUGACUCACUGAUCAGAGGAAGUAAGUGUGGGAGGCAGAAGAGUGCAGGGAGUAGGGAGUUCUUCUUUUCUUCUGCCUGAGGUUAUUUGUGUUUAGUGGAAAAGGGAAGGACUGCCUAGAAUAGAGAAAGAAGUCUCAUGAGUUGUACAGACCACCCUCAGCAAGGAGAACCAAGAGCAAGUGGAGCAUUUUCUGCGAACACGGCCAUCCCUUACCAGGUGUGUCCAUUUUGUUCCAAUGAAAAUACUGUUUCUCUUCAAUGUUCCUUCCCUUGUUGGAGGGAAGGGAAACCCGAGCUUUUUCUUGCUGCAGAGGCACUACAGCGCACGCGCACACACUUGCUGAAGUGUAGUUUGUAAUCACUUGUUCUGUCAGAGCUAUUGGUGCUCGAUUCUGUCUCUUUGGAGAUAAUAUUUAUGAAAUUCCCGGAUGCUUAAGCACUGUUGCAAAUUUUAUAUAAUUUUGAAAAGAUUAUAGAAGAGUUGCAUUUCUUUUUUUCUGAUGAUCCCAGUGGGUACAGGGAAGAGGACAAUAGAAUGUGGUAACAUUCUUCAGGCUCAGGGUCCAGCAGGUUCCAAUCUAAUUAAAAUAUUCUAUCUCUUACAACUGCAAAUAUUUUGAACAUUUAAAUUUACUAAGCCUAUAACAAGCAUAAAAGAUAUUUUUUUCCACAGAACAUCAAGCCAUAGACGAAUACUUCUUAGAUUACAGAUGGGAAAUUAACAACAUGACAUGAAAAUAAAGAAAGUAUUUUGGUAAAUACAGUGUACUGCUAAUUACUACUAUAAUCCACAGUGUUAGGAAAAAUUUUCUUUUAAAACAUAUUACUUCAUGAUGAAUGAUAAAAGAAAAUAUGACUAAAGGAAAAAGUAAAUUUAAUUUCAAUGGUAUUGCUUUGAGCAUUUUAGCGAAAUAACUUUUAGUCUAGAACUAUAGGAGUUGGUAUGAUAACCAGAGGGUGGAGGCAGAAUUUUGUCCUCCAAUACCCCUGUUCUUCUUUGAUAUAAAGGACUAAAGAUGACUGUUCCUCCCCUAGGAAAUGUGAAAAUCCAGUGAAGUCAUCAGACUUGCCAUAUAUAUAGGCACACCGCCUGUUUUUAAGAGUGAUUGGUACUUAGGGAGGGAAUUAAGAAUCUCUAGACCCAGGCAGAGGUGUUUUGCCUGCUCAUCUGUAGGUGGGCGUAAGCAUGUCCCAUCACCCUGAAAAGCAGAACUGAAAACUCUCUGGAGCAGCUGCAGCCCACGCCAAAUGGUGUAGCACCCAUUCAAUUCAAGAGCUGCCCGCGCAUUCUCUCAUUUUCUGCGAAGGAAAGCAUGUGUCUCAUGUGAGAAUAAGUUUUCAACAAAUCAUUUAUCAGGCAGCAAGCAAAAUUUGAGAUGAAUCACGUGUGCUUGGUUUUUCUACAGACUAUUCUGAGAAUCCAGAGUUCAUUAAUAUUGGGACUCUUUUCAAGCAACAUUUAUGUUUCUUACUUAGAUUUAAAUAAUAAUAGUAAUAAUAAUAAUAAUAAUAACACAACUUCUACUUAAAAUUGCCUUCUGAAAUGCUAUAGACUUUUGUCAAAAACAAACAGGGCUCAAUUAGUUUUUUAAAAAUGUACUAUAGGUGGGGUUGUUAUGAAUACUUGUUAAGCCACUAAGACAAAUGCUGUAUUUUUGCUUUCUAAAAUUAGAAUUUAUAAACACAAUUUUCCAUGUCUAGCCAAGUGGAUUUGAUUCUAUUUGUAAAUGGUGGGAAAGGGGCAGCUGAAGGAAGAAAUUCUCUGGCAGCAAUGAAACCUUACUGGCUCUUGUUAUGAGGCAGACAAUUCUUUUUAAUAUAUCUUGAGUAGAUUCUGUUAUUUAUCAUGGGAAAAAUGAGUGUUAUUCUGAUAUUUAAUUACAUUAUAUAUGUCCAUUCCUGACCUAUAAUUAUACUGCCUGUAAAAUUUUAAUUGUUAGUUCAGUGCAGGGCCAUUACAACCAUCAUUUGUUUAUGAUUGAAAAGAUGUUAAAAAUUGCUCCUCUGUCUUAAUAAUGUCUGCUGCUAGCACAUUAUUAACAAAAUAACAUAAUUUCUUCCUGUGGGCCCAGUGUAUAUUACAGGUUACAGUGUUUAGAAAAAAAUGACAAAGACAGGAAAUGUGUAGGGAUGUGGUCACUUAAAUACACAAAAACGCAAGACAAAAGGAUCUCCAGAAUUUGAAAGAACAUCCCUGUUUGGGGUACUGUGAGACAGUCUUAGAUGUUUGCUUGAUGAUAAGCAAUCUUCAGAAGGAACAGGAAGGGAAUGUCCAAACUUCUGAAUUAUGUGAAAGAAAUACACCAAAGCACUAGCUACUUCACUCCUCUUCCGUGUAUUCUGUUCAUGAGGCUAGCCCAAGGCCCAGUUGAUACUUUUCAAACUACAGAAGCCUUCUGGCUCCUACUACAAAUUCGUUCUGAACCAGUUGUGUUACAUUGUUGCUAAGGCUAAUUCUUGCUAGCUUCCUUCUAUAUGCAAGCAUUUUUAUCUCUUUUAAGUAUGGACAAAAGAAAAUUUGUACAUAAACAAAUAGCAGACUCAAGACCCAGGAAGCAGAUUCUCGGUGUUUUUGAAACAGGUUACUGAAAAAUAAAUGAGAAGCAGGAGAAAAAUAGAAGAGAAGACAGAGAAACCAUCUGUCACUCACUGAAGGGAUGAACAAACAGGAGAGUGAAACUGGUGUCCAUAUUGUUUGAAACUGAGCUGAGAUCAUUUCCGUAGACCUAAAUAAAGACUUUGCUUUAUAAAUCUUAGCUCUUCAGUCAAGGGUCGUGUAUACUCGAGUCAGUCAGCCCUCCACUGACCUACGCUAACAGCCCCUUUUGAUAUAGACAUUUGUCCAACUCCGGGGGAAUACACAAUAUUAUAGUUCAUACACUAUAAUAUUGUUUUCUUCUACAUGUCAUUUUUAAGAAGUAAAGCAAAUUUUGUUGUUUUGUGUUCUGCGAUGGAUUCUCCAUCUGUAGCUCAGGCUGCCCUAGAACUUACCUGGAGACUAAGCUUGCUUCCAAGUGUGAUGCUCUUCCUUGUCUCGGUCCCCUCGUGUGUGGAUGAUACACAGAGCCACCACUACAGUCUUAGUACUUUCCUAGACCAAGAAGAUGAUUUGGUGUGACAAUUAUGCACAAGGCCUUUUGUGGUUCUCUUUUUAAAAUAUACUAAAUUUCCCCUGUUAGCCUCUUUGAGGGUCUUAACCAUUAUGUUCUACUGGCGUCAGCGCAAGGAAGAACCGUUGUCACAGCCAUCAACAGUUCUACACAACCUGAGAAAUCAGCCUAACCAGGUCUUGGUGGCUUUGAUCACUCUACUGAACACUAACUCACAGCAACUACAUACUUCUUAGGACAAAGGAUUUUCACAAAUGAACAUCUUUAAAUAUUACAGCAUGAGCAUACGACAGAGUGAAUGAUCCUGUAAAAAAUAAAUAAUUUUAAUUUCUUCUUCCUCCUCUUCAUCUUCUUCCUCCUCCUUCUUCUCCUCUCUCCCUCUCUCCUUCCCUCCCUCUCCUUCCCCAAUCUCAGAGUGUUCAAACCCACAUACAGCACUCACUUGAUUACAUAUCUAUAACUACAGCCCUCAUUUGCUUUCAUGUAAAAUUAUAUUUAGUAUUUAAACUAAAUAAUAGUUUAAAACUAAGUAAUAAACCUUGUACUUUAUCCUUAAAAAGCUUCCAGUGAGGAUCUUUACUUUAAAUACAAAGGAACAUAUUUUAUGAUUUCUAAAAUAUCAACGUAUAACUAGCAUGCAUCUGUCUCUAUGGAGAUCUGAGAGAAUACUACACUGUUGAAAUUUUGCUAAUAAUCAACCCUGUACAUUGUCCAUCUUAUCCUUAACAAAAUAUGCCUUAAAUAUUUCACUUUAAUUUUUGCAUAUAUUUCUUACCUCUAGGCUUUCUAAGAUUUAACAGCCUAGAAAAUUAUCUUAUCUUUGGUUUAGCAAAACCAUAUCUUUAUUUUAUCCAACUUGACAAAAUUGCAUUCUUAUUUUUCCAAUUUAAGUGUUUUUACAUACUCACUUCAUUGCUUAAAAUUCACACAGAUAAUGUACAUGCUAGAUAGAUAAAUUGAGACAUAUCCACUUCUUUUUAUCCAUAUGCACGUACACACGCGAGCACGUGUGCAUGCCUGUGCACAAGCAUGUGUGUGCACACACAAACACACUAAUAUUUAGGCCUAUUUAAUGUUUAGUGCAACUUCUCUGCUUUAACUCUAUAGGUGCUGACGGGUUGGCUAAGAUGGCAAGGUUUACAAGUCCAGGGUCAUCUAUGAGUCUGUGCAUCCCAGAAGCCCUGCCAUGCAGAGCAUUGUUUAGCCUCGUCUUUCUGGAACUAAGGCCUGGUCUGAUGUCUGCAGCUCCCUGGUACCGUGGAGCUGUGUCUGCUCUGAUAGCAUGGGUAGCAUGCAUUCUCACUUACACUGCAUGGACCUAAUAAAUGAAACUGACCCUCACCUUGGUUAGCUUUCCUUCUUUUUCUCCCCAUCUUACAGAAGUAAGGAUGCACUUUUAGUUGGGCUGUGUCUUAUGUUUAACCUUUGCAGGGCAAUCGCCUUUCUCUUACAGGCCUUUGUUCCCCUUCAGAGAGGAAAUGAUUCACUCUAAAAAUUCAAUAUAAAUAAAGCAGCUAAUUCUGCUUUUGAAACUUCAAACUUUGAGAUCGAAUUCAACAUUUCUGAAAAAAAAAAAGAAAAAAAAAAAAAGAAAGAAAGAAAACAAAACCCCAAAACCCAGGGACACAAUAUAUCACUUCAGUUUGCUGCUUUCAAGGUCAGCGCUGGGAUCAGACAGUCCCCAUUUUUUGAUACAAUUAGAAGAUAAAGACCUGUCAGUUCUCAGAGAGCUUAGCCCAGAGCUCUGUGCAGAAGUGGGUCAAUCGCCCUGCCCUGUUAUCUGUCUAAUUAAUGAUGCAUUUAGUUUGAGACUCACAAAUCUACUCAUCGACUUCUCCAAACACCUUAAAUGUACACAAAUUCCCUUACUAGGUCUUACCAUCUCCCAUAGGAUACAGUAGAAAUGGGCCUAAACAUAUUAAAAUAAUAUUUUUAUAAUACAUUGUCUUCCUUCAUAAUUACUUGCCAUUUUUCUACUAACUAUGUCAGUUGUCUGAGAUCCCUUGCAGACCUUAGACUAUGGAAGAAAUGGCUGCACUCUCCCUAGCACAUGUCCUAGACAGUCAGGAAUGGAAAAUGAGUACUCAUUUACUCCCAAGGAUUAUGGCAACACACAUCUCCUAAGUCUUUCUGGCCUGAACCACUUGGAUACCACAACAUAAUCCUUGGGAGUAAAUGAACGAGGUGCGUUUGGGUCUUUCCUUGCUUUCGUUUAUGUUACCGUUUGGAUUCACUUGUACACAAGAAUCUGUUUACCAGUUUCCUGUUAUUAAUUAUGGGAAAUGGACUUCCUUAAAAUGUUAGGGACACUCUUAUACCUCACGUUCAAACACUUCCGGCAAGAUACUGACAAUCCCCUUAAGUUCCACAAAGCCAUAUGCUCAUUUGAAAUACAUUGUUUCUUCUCCUACCCCUCAACUUAUCUCUCCCUGAAAUGAAAAGACAGAGAGUAGCAUGCCUCUACCCAGUUAUGAGGACACCGAGGUGUGAAUCCCGAAUUCUAGUCACAAAACUGAGUUGCAAAAUUCAAAUAAAAUAGUAAAGUGCUAAGGACCACAAUGUAUUCUAAUGUAAAUCUACAAACGGGGAAAAUAUUGAUUUGCUGCUUGAUGUAUUAUUACUAAGCUUUUCUUCUGCUCAAUCCAAGUUAGUAUAUACUCUGUCUUGUCUCUGUUUCUCUCAGUCUCCCUGUGUCUCUGUCUUUGUCUCUCUCUUCUCCCUCCCCUCCCUCUCUUCCCUCUCCAUUUUCUCUAAAGUAUAAGCAAAUGUAUUUGCAUACAUUAAAAUCAUAAAGAACCCAAAACAUCUGGAAAUUUUAGAAGCAAAGCAAAAUAGUCAGGGGAGAAACCCAGUUUUAAAAUGCAGAUGUUUAAUUGUGCUGUCAGUUUUGUUACAAGGGCACAAGAGCAGAAAUAACCAGAAGUCAAUGGCAGAAAAUUAAAAUACUUUCAGGAGCGCUUGCCAAGGUAAAAGCAGUGAAAUUGGUAACACAAUAUGGACACGGCCUUUCUAGACUGAGAUCUGGAAAUGUUACCAUGUGCAAUUUCAUAAAUUAGCUAUUUCAAAUGAAAAUCCUUUUCAUUAAAGGACACAAUAAAAGUUUUUCAUACUCUCUCUUCCCUUUGGUCAUCAACAUCAGGCAGUUAUUUGGGGUUUGUCUUUCAUCAAUGACAAGCUCUUUCCCCCACCCUUCGGGCCCCGUUUCUAAGACUCUGAUAGUGCUGAGUGGCCAGAAAUUACAGAUGCAGGACAGCUGACAAAUGACUGCCAGGCCCCUCCCCCAGGGCCUUGGCAGUCACAGCUCCUGCCGGAACACGCCUGAGCACAGCGAGCCUUCCAGACAAAGACACAAAGAUUCCAUUUUCUCAAGGAAAAAUAGAUUUCAUGUGUAAAACACUGGUGAGAAAAACUCAAAGCUGACACACAUGUGCGGUCUCCACGAGGCGAGGCUGAAUCGCUCCGAAGACUCAAAUUUCACUUGAUUGCAUCAAAGCCUAACAAAUAUUAUUUAACCGAAGAGUAUUUCAGGCAGGCUGUAAAAGGGGGAAAAAAAAAAAAGAAAAAAGACAGGCAACGGUAAGAUAUUUUAUUUGUUGAAGCGCGUGAUUAAGAAGGCAAAAGAAUCCCGAGCUUAGUAGAGAUGUUGAUCCUAGAGUAAGAAUUCAUACUUGCUCACAUCUUGGAGUCUACAAAGUAAGAAGAAUUCUUUUUUUAAAAAAUUAAAACCUUAUUCAAUCAAAGGGUUUAGCAAGAUAGUAUUAAAUUCCUACGAGUAUGUUUCUAGUGAAAAGAACCUCCUCACAGCAGCCCCCAGGAUAUCAUUACUGGAGAGGCAGCGAGUACUUUAUUACACAUGAAACCUUGGCGACUGUCUCAGCCUUCCCAAGCAUGCAGGUUUCAUCUCGUGGGCCCAGAGCCCUGGCUUCCACAGCGAAGGCCAUCUGCUUGGCCUCCCCGUCAUGCCAGGCAAUGUGUAGGUGCAAAGGCCAGGGCUGGGAGACAAAGAAAGGCUGUCUACUGAGAAAGAGUGUGCUUUUCUUCCUGUCUGCCUGGACACCCAUCCCCACUACUCAGAUGAGUUCAGUGUUUGCAGAAAACUUAGUUUAAUAUACUUGAGAAAGUGAGCCCUUAACAGGUUAAAAUAUAAUUAAUCGUAGCUGUCAGGGGUAAUAGACCAAGAAAUUGCACUGGGAAUCUUUUUUUUUAAAUUAUAUAACAAAUUUAAAAACAAAUAAACACAGUUUGUACUUUCCUGUACCUUUUACAAGAUCCUGCAAUUCUUAAAUUUCUUUAGCUUCUGGAAAUGUCAGGGUAAGAAAGAAAGAGGGAAAGAGGGAGGGGAGGGGGAGGGGAGGGAGGCUGAGAGGCAUUACAAAACACUUGAGAAUUCAAAAAGAAGUAUCAUGAAGGAUAAUGAGGCUAUUAGGUAAUCGCAUAACUAUUUUAUCUAAACUCUAUUCACACACACACACAUUUUAGGGCUAGCUAUUAUGAUCAACAGGGAAGGACAUUAGCAUCUUAAAGAUAUUGCUAAUAUUAGUCAUCAAAAUUCAUACUUCAUAUUUGGUGUUAAAGUGACCCCCACCUAAAGGGGACUGAAAACAUCAGUACACUUGUGGAAAACAAACACCAGCUUGGCUGGAAGCAUAACUUUUAUUCUCAAUUAAACCACGUCGCAAUCUGCCUUUGAUGUCAUCUCAGUCCUCCUGCCUAGAACAUGAAGAAUUCUACAAGUUGCAGCUCACCUUUGGAGAUCAAUAUCUGGAGGAAACCUCCCUCUCUAAAUGCAGAUGUAUGUGCUGAGGGGAAAGGAUGUGAGAUAUUUAUUGCCUUACAAACUUUAGCGCACACUAUGCUAAGAGGGUCUAUGUCUCUUGCUUGUUCACUGGCAUAAAGCAGUCCAGGGCUCUGCACUGGGGCUACUGCAGUAGCUAUGGGUGUGUGUUCUUCUCAUAAUAUCUCAACAUUCUGUAUCUUGAAGUGCAAGACUCGGCUUUAAAAUUUUUUAAAGUAUACACACCAUGCUUACUCAGCCCUGUUGAUUUUCUCUAUCCGACCUUGACCACUGCUCUACUAACUGUAAUGGAAUCCUUAGUGACACAGGCUGAAGGAGACUGGCAUGAUGGGAAACUUUCAACUAGAAAACAGGCCUCUUCAGCUUCUCCCCACGCCAGGGGAGCCUCUGCCAGGAGGACAAGUCAAGUGGUUUAUACCCUGAGUCAUACUGCUUGCCAACAGGGUCAUUCUCUCUCUUGAGCUGGAUCCUCAGAGACCUCCCAGAGCUCAGAUCCAAAAGACACUGAAAGCAGACUAUCCAGGAAAAGGACAGGCUAUGAGGUUUAAAAAAGAUAGCGUUGAAGAAAAACAGCCAUAGCCACAGUCUUUGGGAAUAAAAAUAAGAGAAAUACAUUUAAAGAAAAAAUACACAAUAAUCAACCUAAGAAAAAUCAAUAAUCAGCAACAAGAAACAAUGUUUUGGGGGGAGUGAGGCAUUAUUUAUUUCUUUUUCCUUUUUUUUUCCUAGUUUGCUAGACUUCUCUAAUUCAAUAUUGAUAGGAAACACUUUUACAUUCAAAUCACAUUACUGAAUCACAAUAUUUCUUCCCUGAGAACUCAACAUUUCAACAAUGAUCACAGGCUGUGAGAACUGUAUAAAAUAGCACGAUGCCACUAGUAAGGUUGACUCUUCAAAGAAAUGAGAUAAUAAAACGCUAAACUAUAUAUUUAAGAUAUUUUAGAGUACAAGUAAAUUUCAUUGAUAAUUGAAGCAUUUAAAAAUAUUUUAGAUGCUUUUUUGGAUGGAAAUACACAAGGUUAGUUUUCUGUGGAAAAGGAAUAUUCAUAGUUAAAUCAUAGUCUGGAGGUAGCUAAAAUUAUUAGCUUACCUUUAACAAGGACUCUUGUAAUUGAAAAGGUGUGUUUAUGAAAGUUGGCAACUUCUGGGCUGCUAAAAUUAAUCAUAAGCUAGCAAAGUGUAGGAGGGUCCAAGUGAGCAGUCCUUAUGGGCUGUUGGAGAGGAAGCCAUCCCUGUGAAAGGUAAGAAAGAGCUUUGGAUAGUUUGCCUGAGUUCAAGAGAGGGUCUUUUUGUUGUUUUGCAUAGGCUCUGGAGUCAAGGAAAAAAAAAAUCCCAUGAAGGAGAAUGAAGGCAGCUCCAUCUACAUGUUCAAUGGCAAUCCAGUAGGAACCACAGCUACGUACGUGCAUGUCCCUGAGGAACUUAAAGAGGUGUUUGCUCACUUUCCUGUAGUUCUGAUUUGCUCACGAGGAUGCCCAGACAACAGGAAGGUAAGUACAUGCAUAAAUUGUGUUAGACCUUUGGGAAUUCCUUCCUCCGUUUCAGUAUUGUGGUUUUGGUUUUGUUUUGUUAAAAAAAAAAUGGGUGAGAUGAAAGCCCAUUUUCUCAUUUAUAAAUAUCCCCACGAGAACUGGUAGCUCUGUGAGCACAGAGAAGAGGCAUGGCAGACAACCGAUACAUCCCAUCUUUAGAAGUAUUGGCAGGUUUCUGUAGGAAAUACAGUUUAUUCUGGAAGACAUGGUUACCAUAAUUUAAAAAAAAACAAGAUAUUUAGCACACCAAUAAAUAAUUGUGUACAUUAAGAUUUUAACAUUCUUUUGUUGUUGUUUUUGAGACAUCUUAGUCUUCAGCACAGACUGGCCUCAAACUCAUGAUCAUCCUCCUGCCUCUGUAUUCAGUGUUAAGACUGUAGGUAUUAGUCACCACUCUUGACUUAAAAUUUUAAUUCUAACCCUAAACCAAUUAACUAGUUUUCCUAAGAAAAUUAAUUUCUUUUAAAAAAUUUGCUAAUAUUUGAAUCAGCACAGAAAUUUGUAUAGAUUUUUUAAAUUUGGCAAGUAGGGUGCCGUAGUUCCAAAAAGCUUGCCACACUUUCCUAUGGUAAAGAAUGCAAGCCUAAGGUGUUUUGAAGAAAUCAGGGUGUUAUUCUUCUACAGAUGGUUUGAUUGAAAUGUUUUAAAGAUGGCUGUCUCUUCAGUAAAGCCUUUGCUUUACUGAAGUAAACACUUUGAUGCCAUAAUAACGUUUCAGUGGUUCUCAGUCUCCACCUACAGAUGCUAUUGGCUAUCUAUGCAGGACAAACAUCUGGCAAACUGAGGUUGCACCUAAAUAAAACAGAAAACACUUAAACCAGAAUUCUGUCAGCCACAUUUCUCCAGGGUUAAUUUUAUGUAAUAAAAUUAUAUUAUAUUGUGAAUGGCUUCUUUAGUUGGGGAGAUCUGGGAAUACCUAUGGGAGGGGGUCACAUUAUAUACAUGAGAAUGUAUUCCAGUUCUAUCAGGAGGUUUUAAAAGCACAUUGAGAGGUGACCAUUGAUCAUAAUCCAUUUCAUUUAGAAACUGGGCUGUAUGUUUUUGCUCAUCCUUCUGAUUUUAGAAAAUAUAGGGAGAUGAUAUAUGAAGUCUUAUUGAUAACAGUGUUUCCUCCACUAUCAAAAUGGGCAGUGCAAUCUUACACAGUCGCUUGCUUUUCCCAAGAAGGUGAUUCACCAACCUGGGCACUCACACAAGGUGUGCGAUAUAGAACUCAGAACUUCAGCACAAAACGAAACCUUCAGUGGAGAUGUCCUGCUGAUCCAAACCAAUUAGCUAUGCUUUCUGCACUGGGGUGAAAACUCUUGGGAGGCCUUGGAAAUUAGAGUAGAGCUUUGGGUAGAGAGCAACUUCACUUGUCUUAUGGGGCCAUACCACUGUGAUGGAUGCUCUCGUUUCCCAUGUGGGCAACUGAGGAAUUAUAGCAACUAUGGUUGUUUUUUGUUUGUUUUUAUCUUUUUGUUUUUGUUUUUUGUUUGUUUUUGUUUUUUGUUUUUGUUAGUUUGUUUGUUUGUUUGAGACAGGGUUUCUCUGUGUAGCCCUGGCUGACCUGGAACUCACUCUGUAGACCAGGCUGUCCUUGAACUCAGAAAUCUGCCUGCCUCUGCUUCCCAAGUGCUGGGAUUAAAGGCGCGUGCCACCACUGCCCAGCCUAGAGCCAAUAUAUAUUGAGGGAAAAGUAUGUUAUUUUUCUCUAGGUCAGGGUCAUUCCUCCUGACCUCUGCUGAUAUUUUAAUCUAUAUCAUUCCUUUCAUGGGGAGAUUCUUCAGCCUUGGCUCCUACCUGCUGUGUGACAGUUCCGCCUUCCCUAAGCCACUCAUAUACAACCGAAGGUCCUUCAGAGACCAGCUCCCCCUGACUGAGAGCUACCUGCAAGAUAUUUUUGGUCUUCCUUGAUCUAUACAUAAAGUUAGUUAUAUUAGAUAUUCACACCUACUUUAAUAGAGAAUGUGUAUGUGUUUGUGUGUGUGUAUGUGUGUGUAUGUGUAUGUGUGUGUGUGUGUAUGCAGCAGAUUUCUGAACAGAGCAGAAAUGCUCCUGCAAACCAGUAUUUUAUGUGUGUACAUAAAUCUGUAGUUCUAGCUGUGUGCCCAUCACCUGCAUCGCUCAUGUGAUAACAUAAGACUAUUAAGAGUCAUCAACGGGCGUGGUGGCACACGCCUUUAGUCCCAGCACUUGGGAGGCGGAGGCGGGCAGAUUUCUGAGUUUGAGGCCAGCCUGGUCUACAGAGUGAGUUCCAGGACAGCCAGGACUGCAGAGAAACCCUGUCUCAAAAAAAAAAAAAAAAAAAAAAAAAAAAAAAAAAAGAGUCAUCGAAUGUGGGCUAGUACUUACUGCUUUAUUGCAAACCAAAGUGCCUAGCUAUGCUGAUAUAAAAUAUUUGCUUUCAUUUGGAUAUGAAACACUUUUCUUAUGUGUUAUCAUUAAAUAUAAUAACAUGUUUUCAGAAUCCAGUUUUGACAACAUUGAAGAAAGUAAGGUGAUUUGGAUAAUUCCAUGGGAAACUGAGCUUAUAAAAGUGGUAUUAGUUGUACUUUGUCAUCCAUUUGGAAUUUGUCCAACUACUAAAUAGGUUUCUUGAGAAGACACAUAAAAUAUUGAACACUGAAGAAAAUUUGAAGCGAACAUGUAUGAUCACCAGGGAAAUAGGACUAUAAUCAUGGUCCUUCCCAGGCAGAAAGAGAAACUACCAAGUUGAUACAUCUUGCUUUUGUGUGUGUGUGUGUGUGUGUGUGUGUGUGUGUCUGUGUCUGUGUCUGUGUCUGUGUUUGUAAGCUGGUAGUGAUUUCGAUUGGAAGGAAAAAGAUAAAAUUAUAAUAGUCUCAUAGAAACCAAGAAGAUGAGUCAUCAAAAGAAAAUGCUCUGUGAGUACAGCUUGAGACUACGACACAGAAAAUACAUUCCAUGGCCUUAGCUUGUUCUUUUCAAAACUGUUAAUGUUACUAAGACAGUUCAGUGUAGUUUGAGCUCACACUGACAAACAUGAGUAAUCUGGGUCUGUUAACUGAGGAAGACUAAUUUCCUGAAUAAAUCAGUAAUUUCCCUGUGAGUGAGUGUGCAUAUGUUUGCACACUCGCGUGCUUUUACACGUAUGUGAGUAAUGUGGCCUCCCCAUUGUGUACCUAUAGGACAAAGCUGAUUUUUCUCCUUGUUCAUUUUAGUUUUUGUCAGUUUUUCUGUUUCUGUGGUUCUCUGCUUUAUGCUACCAGGUGAUGUGAAGGCAGUAAAAUUUAAACAUGCCUUCAUUAUAUGUUAUAACGUGUUUACAGUCUCAGAUUUUAAUAAGUCAUCCAGAUGCACAUACCAUGGUAUGGUGAGACAACAGGCUUUCCUUCCAGGGCCUUAGUUGUACGCUAAUGCAAGUGCUGGGCUCGUAUCCAUUCAGGAGUUAACUGUAGCAUCACUGAACAUACAGCUGUAUAUCUGUAGUGUCAAGAGUUAGAUAUAAAAGCCAGAAGACUUUAGAGCUCCACUUUGUAGUAACUACAUCAUAAAAUGGCAUUAUGCCUAUAGCUUACUCUUUUUCUUUAUGAAGAGUUUAUAAUAAGUGUGCUUGGUUUGAUAUGAGACAUAAUUCUUUAAAUUUAUAGUGGAAUCUUUCCCUGGUCGUAAAUAACAGGAUCUGAAAUAAAAGGAGUGAAUAGAUAUGAGAACUUAUUGCUAGUAGAUGUUUCAUGUGAUUAAAAAAAAAAAAGAACAAGAAACUUUUUAUAGUGAAUGAGUUCACAUCAAAGAGAAAUUACAACUUGGUUUAAUGAUGGACUGGAAAGUAGUCUUUCAGCAAGUUUGUGGCUAAAGGCAUUUCUCACUAUCACAGACUUUUUCACACCAGAGCUUUACAAACUUUGGCUGUACCAGGACUAUUCGAAGGGUUGUUAAAAUGCAGAUUGCUUAGCUUUGGACCAGCUUCUCUGCUUCAAGUGAUUUCUGACAACCUGUAUAUAUGACCAGUUGUCCAGCGGGGUCAAACGGUCACUGUUGCAGAGCUUUCCGACACUCAGGAACCAACUUUUAGUUGGAGCUAAGAACUUACUCUUUGUUAGAAAUGGCAAAGACUAUUACAGGUUAAAUAAAUAAGUUCAUAAGCUCAAAAUAUUCAUUUGUAAUAAACUAACUUAGCUUUACCAGCAGAAUGGAUGGAUUAUAAAUGAAAUUGUUUACUACAAAAUCCUUCACACGAUAUUGAAAGACAGGAAACUUUAAGAGAAAAACAAAACAGGCAAUCCCUUCUGAAAUACAAUUGGCAGUCAGCCCAAUUUUAAAAGUAUAUAGUAUAUAGUAACACAAAAACAAAAAUAUCCAUCAUCAAUACUUUAUUCAUCUUUUUUUGAUUAACUCUGUCCCACAUGCUCUCAAAGAAUUAACAACUCUGUUUUUUCAAAGUUCAACCUCCCCUGAAUGUCCAGUGUCUUAUAUGUUUUUAUUGCUUACAUGUACUACAGGUUUCUACUAACUCAGUACUGGUACUUAUAAUUCAUUAAGAUUCAAAUAAAUUGAAGUAAGUGCUAAUUCAUGGGAUAGAGGACAUUUCAUAAAUUAGCUAAAACUGCAAAGCAUAUCUUGACAGAUAUCAUGGCUUCCCUCAAUGAUGGUGAGGGCCAUACACCUGAGCACAUGGUAUAGUUGAUAAUGUGGAUGAGACUGUGGGAAUUGUGGCCAUUAAACAUAGACUACAGGGUGUUGAGUGUUUGCUUAUUCUUUGUAUAUUAUUUCAAAGCAUUCAGAGUAAGCAAGCUACCUGAGAGGUUCCUGAGUCAGACGUCAGAGACUGCUCAGCCUAAGGCACAAGUCAGCUUCUAGUCCUCACUCCCAUUGUGACACAAUGACGGAAACACAAGUAAGAAUGUGCCAUUCGCUGUGUAACCGUUUAUUUGAAGAUUAUGCUGCAACCCAGUCAGUCAGCUGUUAACAUGCAGCUUUCCACAGAAACUAGGAAAUGCUUGGUGUUCUAGGAGAAGAUGAAGACAGCAGAAAUGAAGAUGAUAUGAAGUUCUUUUCAUCGUGCUUGGAAGAAUGAAUCCAAAAUUGAAUUAUAGCAUUCACACUAAACCAGGGCACCAACUCUUCUGCUUAUUUGGCAGGAACAUUGAAUCACUUAAUCAAAUAAACAACACAAACCUUUCAAACCAAGACACUUGUCAAUUGAAUUAAUAUCUAAUUUGUCAGUAAAUACGUGUUACGGUUGACAGUAUAUUCUGCCACACUGAUACAUGUGUGCUUUAAGAUUCCACAUAGAAUUAUGACCACUUGAGUGUACCUGUGGAAUAAAAGCUUACAGAGAUCUGAAAUCUUGUAGUUGUUCUGACUGUAUAGUGAGGGAAGAUGGAAAGUAAUUGUUCCUGUUGAAUAUUGGAAAGCCAUCAACUUUUCCCCUCUAUUCAAUUAGUGUUACUUGAAGAAUUUUGAAUAGAGGUACUGAUUCAUUAGUGAGUAAAUAUUUUAUAUUCUCAAAUGCAGUGGAUAAACACUAUAUUAGAACAUUAAUAAUUAAACUUUUUUUUAUUUCCUGGCUUUAUAAACCAUUGUUUUCUAACACCUUGGCAACAAUAUCCAGAUUUGGGAGUAAGGGUUAGAAGUUGUCUUUUGUUUUAGAAUGACUAAAAUGGUUAUAAUUGUAAUAAUGUAGGUUUGUGUCUCCUGCUCUUUCUGUCUUCUGUGUAGUUUAACAAUCUUAGCCUUCCUUUUCUACAGAGGCAAAAGCGCAAAUCUCUUUGACACAGGCCCUCUCGCUCAUCAGGUGCCUAUACAAAGUGCUGUUGUUGAUGCUGGAUUCAGGGUGUUGAAUGGGGAGGAUAAUCAGUGAUAACAAAAUUGUAUCCCUUUCUUCCUGCAAUUACCUCAGAGUCCAUACAGCCUUGACAUCUGGAAGCCCCCAGCUACUGUCACAGCUGCGAUUCCUGCCCCAUUGCAGGAAGUUAAGCACAUGUUCCAAAGAACACUCAUUGUUCUGGUUCUCUGGGAACUCAAAAUCAAGGCUAUUAGUGAUCACACCAUUUGGUACCACACACAUAUUGGAGUCAUAUACUCAUGAGAGACACAUUGUAAUAUCAACCACUUUCUUACAGGUGGUGUAGGUUGCAUUUGCUUAGCAACACACACACACACUCAUUUUCUUCAGUGAUCAAUGUUAGAAGGACGUGUACCUCAAGACAUAGUCCUAUUUAAACUGUUGGAAGAGAAUUAAGUUAAACAGUAAGUGGGAGAAUUUUACCAUUCUGUCUCUUUUCAUAUAGAACUUCACAUAACAAACAAAUGAACUUUCAAAUACUUAGGAAUCAGUUAAAAAAAAUCUAGAGUUUCCCAAAUGAAAUGCAGAGUCACUAAGUGUUGAUAAAAUCCAACUGACUUUUGACAUCAAAUAAGUGUAGAGAAUGAUUUUGUGAUUUAAAGCUGAUGAACACUAGGGCUGUUUACGUGGCUUGCUUUGAUUCUUAAAAUGAUCAAAAGGAGUGAGUGCUGAAUGGACUAGCUAUUAAUUCAUCUCCAAAAAAUAUCCAUAAUGAUUAUCCUCAUUUUAAGAGCAUUAGUAAGUUUUGUUCACAAAAUUAAGAGAUGGAUUUUACUAAUGCUCUAUAAUCAUUUUGUUAAUCAAAAUGAUUGCCAGCAAUCUUCUAGAAACUAAACUGAUUUGCUCCAGAAUAGAUUGAGGAUUGCUGGAGCUCACAGUGCCACUUGGCAAAAAUUUAAUUGCAUAUGAUUUUUAUUUAGUUUACUAAUUGUAUUUUUAUUUCUGUUUUUUCAUCUUGCUUUCAUUUCAUACUCCAAAACAUUAAAACAUUCUCCAUAGCAUAUUAUUUGCCCUAAUUUGCUACUUAAUUCAAUAUUUCCCUUUGCUUGAUUAUUUUUUAAUUUUGCACUUAUAAUGAUUAAUAAUCUCUCAUAAUUCAACAAUUUCUUUCAAAUGAUUAAAGCAGGCUUGUAUCAUUCAUGCAAUGACUUUGAUACGUAUCCACUUUUGGCUAAAAUUUUUGACAGUGUAUUUACAAUAUGCUCAUAUGAUACUAAUUUUUUUACAGUAUGCUUAGCUUUAGAGGAUUGUUCCUCUGAUAACCAGAAGUUACUGGACAUUAUUCUAAUAUUUUUGUGUGACAUUUAAUACUGAAGGCUUAGCUUACUUUGAAACAAAUCUUUGUUUGGAUAGUGGCUGGUUUUUCUACCUUCACUGUUCUACAAACCCUUGCCAGGGCACAUCCUUCUGAGUAGCAAUUACAAAGCCCAGGAAGAUGUUUAGAUGAAUUUUUAAAAACCCAAUUUAAAAUUACAUACAGAAUACACAAUACAUCUUGUCCAAUUGCUUUGCUGCCUUUAUCUGUCUGCAUUUUUGUUCUCUUAGUGACAAUUCACUUUCCAUUGCCCCACAGUGAGUAAGAGCAAGUUUUGUACUGGUUUCUGCAAUUCCUGAGCAUUCAGACACACGUGAGGUAUUUUCAGAAUCAAUACGGCAGAAUUGUGUUUAUGAUGGUCCGUUCACACACCGUUGAUGCUUUGUAACACAUUGAACAAAACAGUCCUUUUCACUGCUACUUAAACAAAAGCACACGGGGCACUCUAUUUGCAGUGAAGUUCCACCAGUCUGCACAUGUGCAAAGGGGAAUGCAAAGACUUGCACUUGAGGAGACUGUAGUCUUACCCAGAAGGAGAUUCAGCUUUCAAUAAAGAUCCCUCAACAGAAGUGUUUGCAAUAGACUUGGUUCUGGGUAGACAGAAAUGAUGCCCCUGUUUAUCUGGCUUAGAGACCACUUGAAAUUGCUUAGAAGGCCAGGCUAAUGAUAAUGUCAUUUAGCAGGUCCAGGCUUGCUUGUUGAAGAGUAUUGUGCAAAAAUGACUUCGAAUUGUUUCUGUUGGACACAAUAUGCGUCAGAACUGAUUAAGCUGGUCUUCCUAUUGUUUUUGGCUUUUCUCACACCUCAGAAAUCACUUUUAACUUUCCAAAGACAUCUCACUUCUACGGCUCAUUGUCAGAAUCUUUUAUGUCAUGACAUAAAAUGUUAACAAGGUGAAAUUAGAAAUGAUUUAUGCACAGGACAUUCUAAGUAUGUGAGCCAGCUUUGGUAAGGUUUAUUAUCAAGAUUUCUCCACGUGAUAAAUUUGAAUGAGAGAUUUUAUUUUGUAUAGUGCUUGGGUUUGAAACCAGAGCCUCACACAUACCAGGCAAGCCUGCGACCACCGAGUCAUAUCCCCAGACUGGAACUAUCAUUGGUUAUUAAAUAGACUGCCUUUAGUUACUGAGAAGUUCUUACCUACAAAAGAAACUAAAAAUGUUUAUUGACUAUGAGAGUAGAUAGGUUGCAUCUUGGUAAAGGUAUUUCUAACCUCCUCUCUUUUAAAGAAUUUAUUACUCAUUUUUAAAAUAAAAAAGUCACCAUACAAUUGUGUGAGAUCUAAAAUAUACUAAAAUUUGAAAACUAUCACCAACAUAUUAUUAUCUGAAAUAGAUGAUUUGGAGACAGAUCUUAUAGUGUCACAUAUAAUGGACCAUAAGAAGAUGUCUAAAAGGAAAAUGGCUUUUUCUUUGUCUGGUUUUCCAUGGAAGCAUAAUGAAUCUGCUAGGAAAAUCUUCAGACCAUUUUUUCCCUUGAGAAGCUAGUAUACGUUUUAAAAUUAUAAUUUAAUGCAAAAGUAGGAACAUAUCAGUAAUCUGUCUGUGACUUAGAAUCUUGCAUAUACUUUUCUAUGGUGUGGAGACUGUUUUACUUCAAUCUUUUAACUCUUGAGACUCCUCAGAGGCACAAACUGUGCUGACACUCUGCUUAGCCUUGUGAGCAAAAUAUAUCGCCAUUGAUCGAGAAGAAAAAUUACUGAGAAGAGCAGUGAACUACGAAGUCCUGACUUCCUAACAUAAAAACAUAUAAACAGUCUGAGUACAUACAAACGGUCUGUAUCAGCACACGGAUGUGUUCAGAGUCUAGGCUCUUUAUACCAGAUGUUCAGAGUCUAGGCUCUUUAUACCAGAUGUUCAGAGUCUAGGCUCUUUAUACCAGAUGUGGAGAUUUUGGGCAUAUUCUUUUUUUUCAGCAGUACACAAUCAGAAUGCAGCCCAAAAUAAGGAUGGGAGAAAACAAAGCCCUGCUCCAUAAAGUGUGUGCUACUUUUUACGUGGUGUUAACUAGGUGACGCUGAUGGAAAAUCUAGUCUGUCUUAGUUUAAGACGGAAGCACACACACAAAAAUAUUUUCCUUCUGGACAGCAGACUUCAGUACUGAGAGAUCAGAGAACAACUUGAUCUGCAUUGUGACUGCAGACCAAAAGAUUUCACAGCAUUCCUGCCUUGGUGCUAGGCCUUGUGUCUCUUUAAUGGCAUUUAAAUUAUAGUCUGCUGCAGCCAUGUAGUCAAAACAUCGCGUCAUGUUGGAUACCACAUUGCAAUCAGUCAGGAUGUCGCAAUUAAAGAAUCCAUAUAUGCUUGCCCUUGUUUUUCUCUUUUGAUAGCAAAAGUAAAAGGACUGUCUUUUAAACUAUAGUUGAACGAAUCAAGUCGAGCAAAGGGCAUGCUUUUAUUUAUAGAUUUUCAUUCCUUUGUAUAAUAUAUUUCUCUCAUAAUUAUAUUUUUGCAUUCCAUCUAUUUAAUAUAUCAUAUGCAUGUUAUGCUUAUACAUGACGCACAGAAAUUAAAAGUGCAGGGUCAAUUAUAAGAAUUUUGUUUUCUCCCAAACAAGAUAUUUGCUAUAAAAGCAUACUUAUACUAGAAUAGUAUUAAAUAUAACAAAAAGGCACCACACUCUGAAUUCUGGGAUGGCAUUCUCUACAGAUGGCAUGUUUCAAAUGCCAUACAAGAAACGAGUUUUAAUUGGAAUAUGUUCUUUUAACAUAAUGUUUGUUAUAGUGACUUCACAAUAAAACCCUUCUGAAAAUUAACAUUUCACUCAGUAUUCCUAAAGAUCCACAAAAAAGGAUGCUACACUUUAUGUAAAAGCAUUAUACAUUCAUCUCAUUCGGUGGUUUAUAUAAUAACACAUGGAUCUAUACAUCUGUACCAGCAGUGAGAAGAGUAGAACUAACUUCCAGGAGCACACGCUAUCUUCCUAAUUGGCUGAAGAGCUUUGCUUUCAUCCUUCAUGGUGUAGAAUGGACUUAAUGUAUUUGCAAGAGAAGGUUUAGGUCACACAAAAAUAAUGAGGUUUUACAUACUAUGCUUGCUCAUUUUAAAACUGAGGUGGAAAAUAAGUGAUUUUAAUACUCUCAUGGGAGAGUUUCGUUUUGUUUUUGUUGUUUUGUUUUGUUUUCUGAAACUCUCUUAAGUAAGCAUUAGCUGAGAAUAUUCAUAUGAAAAGGUGUGUCAGUUUUGGUAAAAGCAAGUCACUACAAAUAAGUGGAUUCCUACACUUCAGAAUCUCUCUCUCUCUCUCUCUCUCUCUCUCUCUCUCUCUCUCUCUGAAACAUGGAAAUAAAAAGAAUAACUGUGCUGAUAGUUCUCAAAUUGGGACUAUCUAAGACAAUACAACAUUGUUUCACUUCCCUAAGAAGCCAAGUAAGGAAUGACAGAUAUAUUUAUUGAGAAGAGGGACAAUUUAGUUCUUCUACUGAAUUGGGUUAAAUGUGCCCACAUUGAAUUAAUGUUUGGCAAAAAAUCAUGACACAUAUUUUACUGACAGAUAUGUUGAGCUAAAUAGAUCCACACACUAUAAUGUUUCAAUUAAAAUACAUUUUUCUUUUGUUAGGAGCAAUGGAAAAGAAGGAAUAGCCAUAUCUGGAAGUGCUAUCAUAGAGAGGAAACUCUGCACAUGUGGGGAAUUGUCAACUUUACACUAUGACUCUAUGACUCUCCUCCCCAUUCAUGCCUAGGAUUCGGGAUAGAUUUUUUUUGGGGGGGGGAGCCCAUUGUGUGAUAUAUAUGUGUGUGUGUGUGUGUGUGUGUAUUAUAUAUAUAUAUGUGUAUAUAUGUAUUAUAUACACAUACAUAUAUAUAUAAUUUGUCAAUACACAUAUAUACACAUAUGUAUUUGUCAAUAUAUAAGUACAACCUGCUUAGUCUGUAAAAUGCCACUUGUCUCCUGUUGGUUUAAUUAGGUUUCUUAUAAUGUUUUAUUCUGUGUCAUGAUAUCAGCAUGAAACUCUCCUGGCCUAGAAUGAGUGAUGUAAACCAAGCUAUCCUGGAACUCACAGAGAACUGCUUGCUUCUGCCUCCUCAGUGCUGGAAUUGAAGCCAUGAACUGUUAUACUUGGAGGAUUGGAGUGCAUAUGGGAAGAGUAAAACCUUUUAGAAUAUUGUGAUAUGAAACUCAACAAGGCUUUCUUUACAGAUCUAAAUGAGUGAAAUAUGUUUGUGCAUAUGAAUACAUAUUAGUGGCUACUUGAGUAACUUUACAAAGCUUUACUAAGUCAGUUUAUUUUAUCCAAAUUUACUUUUUAUUAUAUGAGGUCAACACUAAUAGAAUUUGCACUUAAUAUGAAAAAUAUAUUUUAAUGCUACAAAGCAUUCAUUUAAAGAACAGCUCAAAUUACCAUCCAUGUCUAGAACAUUCUUACUCUUCCAAAGGACUGCAUCCCCAAUACAACAUAUGCCCAGUGUGUCCCAUCAUCUGCCAUUGCACUCUCUGUAUCUCUGGAUCUGACUAUUCUGCUAUAUCAUAUGAACAAGUGUAUAGUCACUUGAUUGGCUCAUUCCAAUUAUCUCAAGGCUCUCCUAUUUAAUUCACAUGGAAGGAUAACCUUCCUUUAAUUGGCUCAUUGCAAUUAUUACAAGGCCCUUAGAUUUCAUUCAUUUGGAGGAAGAAUAUUCUUUUUCUCCCAAAUAAUUUUUCAUUAUACAAACAUAUAUAUGUGUGUGUGUGUGUAUGUAUAUACCCACCAUUCAUUCAACUCAAUAACUUUUAGCCUGUCAUGAAUAAUGCUAAAAGGAACAAACAACAACAACAAAUCACCAAAGUAAUUGUUGAAUCUUUUAUUUUCAGUGCUUUUGGGCUAUAAAGAUCCUUUUGUAAACUUGCAUAAGUCAGUAUAGAGCACCUGUGAUCUUGUCAGUAAGAGAGGAUGAGUACCUGUGAUCUUGUUAGUAAGAGAGUAUGAGUACCUGUGAUCUUGUCAGUAAGAGAGUAUGAGCACCUGUGAUCUAUCAGUAAGAAGGUGUGAGCACCUGUGAUCUACCUGUAAGAAGGUGUGAGCACCUGUGAUCUACCUGUAAGAAGGUGUGAGCACCUGUGAUCUAUCAGUAAGAAGGUGUAAGUACCUGUGAUCUUGUCCGUAAGAGCACCUGUGAUCUUGUCAGUAAGAACAUUUGUGAUCUUGCUACAAGCACCUGUGAUUUUGUCACUAUCAGCACCUGUGAUCUUGAUGACACAAGCACCUUUGAUCUUGUGAUUUUUGUCCUUAUGUACAUGUGACUUCUGUCAGUAUGAAGGUAGGAACACCCGUGUUUUUGCCAGUAUGAUCUUGGGUACUACGCUUUUGGUUUGUUAUUAGUGCUUUCUUUGGAUAGACAGAAAGCAGGAUGCUGAUAAUUGUUUUUAAGUUUUUUAAAUUUUAAAAUAUUUUCUGACAUGAAUGUUUCUUUUUUUUUCUAAUGACUAAAACUAUAGUGUUGAUGUAAUAUUCAUUCCGCUCUUCUUAACUUCAAUCUUGUAAAACUGAGAAUUCUCCCUGAUAACAUGAUCUUAUGCAUUUUAUAGAGGCAAUUCUUGUUUUUUCUUCAAAUUAUGGACUGCAAUGAUAUGAAAUAGCCAUCACAAAAGUAUUGUAUAUUUUUAAUAUAGUCACUAUAGUCUAUAAGUUAAUAAAUACUGGUUAGGUAAGUCUAUAGAUGUAUAUAUAGAUCAACCAUUAAGGAGUCUCAUUUGACCUUCCUUACCCAUUGUAGCAGAGAAUAAAGUGAGAUUUUAAAAAGAUAACUGUCAUGCCGGGCGUGGUGGCACACGCCUUUAAUCCCAGCGCUCGGGAGGCAGAGGCAGGCAGAUUUCUGGGUUCGAGGCCAGCCUGGUCUACAGAGUGAGUUCCAGGACAGCCAGGGCUAAAAAACAAAAACCUGUCAUACACUCCACUCAUUAUUAAAGGGCCAAGACAGAGUACCAGCUCAUGCCUUUCUCCUAUCAAACUCAUUUCAUACACCAUACAUCUCAGCAUCCCUCUGCUGAAUGAAUUCUUUAAAAAGCAUUGCAGUAGAUCAUAGUGCAGUUGGCUGCCCAUCUCUGGAGACAUGAUCUCUGGAAGAUGGAUCGUGUUUGGGAAUCUCACAGCUUAUAAUUCAUUCGGAGUGCUGGUUCUUUUUGUUCCCCUGUCUCUAUCAUCCAUGUGGUGCACAGCCGCCACUGGUUUCACUGAAGUUAAUUUACCAUGACAUUUCUAAAAGCUAGGUCAAAGCCAUGUAAACAGAGUAACACUUAAACAGAUUAUGUCAAGUAUGCAACAUGCUGUAUAUUAUAUUUGUUUUGUUUUGCUUUCUUAUGAUGCUCAGGCUGACCUUGAACUCUCAGUCCUCUUGCCUUAGUCUCAUAGUGCUUCUAUUACAGACUGGCAUCAUGCCUACCUCCUCACCAUAAUCCAUUGUCUUGUUUCUUUGUGUGCUUGUUUGUUUAAAGACAUGGGUCCCUGUAUUCCAGGCUGGCCUAGAACUCACUAUGUAACUGAUUCUCCAGCUUCCACCUCUCAAGAGCUAGGAUCAUAGGUGUGCACCAACAUUCCUGCAAUUCUUUGGUCAGGAGAGCAAGCCUCCUGUUUUAUAUUUGUUGGGUUUAAGAGCAAAAUAUUUAAGCCUUAGUCUCAUUGCCUUUAAGAAGAAAUGUUGAAAGACAUUUCUUAAAAAACAAAAAACAAAAACAAAAACAAAAAGAUUUAUUUAUUAUAUAUAUCGGGUCUUGUCUACAUGUACACCUGCAGGCCAGAAGAGGGCACCAGAUCUCAUUACAGAUGAUUAUGAGCCACCAUGUGGCUGCUGGGAAUUGAACUCAGAACCUCUGGAGGAGCAGCCAGUGUUCUUAACCUCCGAGCCGUCAGAGCAUAAAGAUCACAAACAUGUUUAGAGAAUUAAAACAUUUCUCUUCUACAGCACACUUAAGGAUCUUCCGAAGUACUAGUUACCUGUCCAUGAAGAAGUUCAGUCAUUAUCACCAGGACUAUUUUCCAUUUAACUGGUAUUGAAUUUCCUGGAAUAGAAACUCUGUUUGUGCUUGCACACACACAGCCAAAUCUAGAUAUGACUCCUUCCUCAUUGGAUUAACCUAGUUCCAUGCCAAAGAACUGGACUACCAUUUUUCACCCACGAAUGCAAAUGAACAAGCACAAUGCUACUAAACUUGUCUUUUUCUUUAUAUGCCUGAGAAAGUCCCAACCCUAGUCAUUCCAUCAACAUAUCUUCCCUUGUAAUAAACAGCUUUCUACACAGAAGAGAGGACAGGCAAUGAAGUCACUAAAUAAUUUAAUUAAUAACAAAUAAUUUAUGUGGUGCAUAAUUCAUAAUAUAUUCAUGAAGUACAUUUAAAAAAAUCUUCUAGACCACUACUUUCCAAGAGGCUUAUUAAGAAAAUAGAUAAUAGAGCCACUUUGCUCCUUAGUGCAUGCCCUAUAAGACAAAUGUCCUUCUUAUAUGUAUAACCACAGGGUUCCACCCACAGAUCUUCACAUGGAAUUCCAGGCUCUGAUCUGCAUUCCCUGAAACUCCCAUAGUCUCUGUCUGAGCAGGAGUCUCUGUCUGAGACUCCUGUCUUAGGUCAGCUUUGAUCUUCUUCGAUGAAUGUCAAUUUCUCCAAAUUUUAAUUAAUUAGUGUAAGAGAACAUCAUGCUAAUUAAUAAUGGAAGGCCAAAAUAUACAAUGACAAUUAUGGUAAUAAUAAUAAUAAUAAUAAUAAUAAUAAUAAUAAUAGUAACCCAAUGGUAAAAUAAUAUAAAAGUUAUUUUAUUUGUUUUAAAAAUGGUAAUAAUUCUAAAAUAGUUCAGAUACAAUAGUUCUGAUAUAAUUAUUAAACAUACAAACAUUCUGAAAUAUUAAUACAGCAAAUUUCAUUUCCAAAGAAGAAUAGCUAUUUGGUCUGAUUCUUUUCUCAAAAAAAAAAGUUAUCUAAUAUUAGCCAAGUCGUUUUGUGGUGGCUUUCUGAGUUGGCUCAUUUGUUUUUCCAGAACAAGUGGUUUCUUAGACAUUAACUUGAAAAAGCCAGCCACUGCCCACCUAGUUUGAUCAUUUGUUUGAGUGAAAUACUCCUCUAAAUUCCACUUGUUUUAAAGCUUUUGAAACAUAUGUCUUUUCUAUAUUAAUAUGCUCCCUUUCACUUUUAAAUUUUUGCUUAUAGAAACAUAUACAACUCAAGACCAAAGUGACUUUUUAAUUAAAAAAAUCAAUUUGAAGUUACUUAAGAUACAUAUUCUAUAACAUUAUGAGGUAGUUGGGUAAAAUGGGGCUUUAAAGAGAAUGCAUGCAGUUGACUUAAAGAGAGGAAAAAGGAAGAACAAGAGGAGAUAAUGUGGGAUUCCAUGUCUGUCAUCUUUCACAUACUAUAAGGACUUGAGGGGAAGGAAAGCUAAGAGUGUAACUGACAUGCCAACUCAUUCCUAGGGAACUCAUUACUUAAGGCAUAAAAAUAUUGUUAAGCAUGUACAUAUAUGUCACUAUAAAAUAGAUUUUGUCCUAUAUUUACAUGUGUAAUUUUUUAAGUUGAAACACUGGUAUAAUGACUCCUUUGGUUUUUUUUUCUUUUUUUAUAAUUAACCACUAUAAAACACAAUGAAAUUCAGUAUUAAUUGCAUUGGCAGUAUAGUUAUGUAUAGCAUUUGUCCCUGUAGUGGUAACAUAGUUUGCAUUGGAUAGUUUUCUGGAACGUUGGAGGACAGAGUAUGUAACUGAGAUUGCCCUCAAAGUCAAAAUUAUCUUCACCCUCCCAAACACUAGGGUUUCAAUGAUGUAUUACCAUGCUUGGAUGUGCUGAAUUAAUUUAUUUACAUUUAUAUAAUACUAAUUUGAUUGAUUUAGUAUGAAUUAAUAUAAAGGUUAAAUUUAGAAGUAGCCAUAAUUUUAUAGAUGGUCAAAUUUCAGAAGUCUAGGUGCAUUUAGGUACUUGGAAACAAAAGCAAAAACAAAACAAAACAACAACAAAAACAAAUAAAAACAUUUUUGUUAAAAGCAUAUUUCUAGUUAAAAUUUAAGGCACUUUCCAGGUGAUUAAUGAAAACUAUACUGUUUGUAAUGAAGUUUUCUAGUAAAUACAUUAGCAUGCAACUGGUCAUGUAAAUUGUAUAGAAUGACUGCCCUCCACUCAAAGUGAAGGGCAUUCAUGGGUCUCCCCGCAGGAGAGUCAACAAAGAGUACCAGGCUGUACAAUGACCAUCGAAGAUGCGCUCUAAAGGAAGCUUUGUGGGAUUUCCACACAGAUGGCUGCUGCAGAGCAUAAAUAAGAAUGAGCAGGAGGAGGAGGAGAGAGCAGAGAGAGGGAAGGAACGAGCAAGUUCACGCCUGUUCAGAGGUUGUUCUCAUCAGUCUCUUUAUCAUUCUUUAAUGUCUUGACCAUGGAAAAGGUGAAUUAGAGGACCCUUCAGUUCCCAUCUGUAAUGCAUGAACUCACAUACUAACAGAUUUCUUAAGACCUAACCAAUCCUUUAGUUUUCCUAUUGUCAUUGCUGUCCUGUCAUUUUGACAGUAAGUUGCUGUGUUUAUUUAUCUUUCUAAGAUGAGCUACAUGGGCGACAGCGACAAUGUUUCAGGAGAGGGCAGGGAGAAGGGAGGUAGGAAAGUUUUUCAAUCCUGCCCUUACACCUUUGAAAUUUAUUCUAGUAACUUUUCAAAGCCCCAUUUGCUCCUUGUCUACCUUGCCUUGUAAAGUUUUCUGUCAAAGAAAUGAGAAUGAGAAACUGAUUAAUUCCAGCCAUAAGCUAUCAUAUAGUUUUAGAAGACUACCCUUGGCUCAGGUGACUGUAGAAGUUGUAUCUACGCUCUGUUGCCCCUUGAGUAGGACCCAAACGCUUUAGGAUGAUACCUAGGAAGCUAGGUACCAAAGCUUUUCAUACACAUUUUAAGUCCAGGCUUAGCAGCUUCAGUCACCCUCCUGCCUCUCUCUCCUCUCGGUUCCCAGACAUACAGAGCUCAGUCAAGGAUAGGUGCUGUUUCCCUAAUAAGAUGUGGAAGCUCCCUGCUUCUGUCAAGAGCUCCCUCUCCUUGGAUUGCUUCUACUCUUCAUUGUGCAUGAUUUCUAUUCAUCUCUUUCAUCAAUCAAAGUUGCUUAAAUUGUUCAACAUUGCUCAAAAAUAAAGCCAACCUUUUGAGAAUAUUUUCUUCAAGAAGUCAGCAUUUAAAGAAAUACCUAUGGCAGCAAACUUUAUGACAAUUAGAAAAAAAAUAGGAUAAUAUUUAGAGUUCCUAGUCAGAGAUUUGCAUAUUACAGCCAAGGAAACCUAGUUAUGGAGGAAAAGGUAUUCUCCAAAGCUACAUAGUUCUAAAUUAAAGGAACACGAGGUUUUUUUGUUUUGUUUUGUUUUGUUUUUUUGUUUUGUUUUGUUUCUCAUGUGAGUCUCUGCAGUGAUGGUUAUAGCAGCUUUUGAUUCAGACAGUUCUCAAUCUGACCUUGGGAAACCUGUUACCCUCUCUGCAAUUAUAUUUAAAACUGAGGAUAAAAAUACAUGACCCAGAGAAGUUUCCAUCUCCUGUUAAGUCUAUAUACCAUGUAUCCUUGCUUGCAGAGACACAUGGAGCUGUUGGUAGAGCAGAAAGUCAUGGUUCAUCAUGGGCAGCAGAGGUAGACUUAUUGAGUAGUGCUAUUUUAAGUGCACUGUCAGGUCCUGGUUAUUUGGAGCUAGUUAAUUAACUGAUGUGUAUUUAUUUUCUCCCUGAGAAAUUGAAAUGAUUAGCUUGUUUAAGGCACUUUACCAUGUUUGAACAGAAAUUUCCCUC